CGUCUUUGCGGUAAACUUAAGUGGUGGCUUCAAGAAAUGGAUAAUCAGUGUAACCAAUGACGGGAUCAGGUAUGUAGAAUGUCUCUUUGUUGUACUUGUUUAGAGGAGCAUAAUCUCUUUGGCAAAUCUGGAUUCGCCAAGAAAAUACGGCCAUAAGCAAUAAGAUCUGCACUGCCCUCGGCCACAGCACUGUUUCCAUCUUCCCCGUCAUAACCACCAGCAGCAAUGAAGGUACCAUGGAAAGACUUUCUCAUGGGAAGAAGACUGGUGGGUUUCAUCUUUUUCUCCCAUUGUCUUCAUCCUCGGCUCAACCAUGUGGCAGUACACAAUUCCAUAUUUGUUCAAGGCAUUGGCCAUAUAGAGGCCUAAUUCUUUUGGAUUUGAAUCCCCUGAGUCCAUAUAGUCAGCAAAUGGAGAUAAUCUAAUUCCAACUUUAUCUGCUCCUAUUUCGUUAGCGACAGCUUCAACAACUUCCAGAGGAAGGCGGCAACGAUUCUCUAGAGAUCCACCAUAUUGGUCUGUUCGAUCAUUCACAUGAUCUUUCAGAAACUGAUCAAGAAGGUAGCCAUGCGCCCCAUGAAUUUCAACUCCAUCGAAGCCUAUAUAGCAGAUUAACAAUUUCAACAUACUGACGGUAUUAGAUCCUAAAGCAUUGAAGCAAAUUGAGUUGUUGUAAAUUAUGUUUCAUAUGUAACGUAAAGACAAAUUACCAGCUUCAAUAGAAUUCCUUGCAGCAAGUCUAAAAUCAUUGACAAUUUGUGGAAUUUCAUCUGUCCUUAAUCGUCUUGGAGGCGUGAAUUCAGAAGCAUCGAUGCCAUUUAAUCGUAUCGGCUUGUCAGUAGAAGUUAUUGGAGCUUGCCCAUUUGGUUGAUAACCUGUAAGCAAGGAGAGAAAGAAUUAUAACCUGAAGUCUAACGACAGUAACUAACAUCCACAGCAGCACUCUUUUAAGUGGGAAUCCUUUGUUACAAAUUACUAUAACCACACGUGCUAUAUACUAGUUCUGAAUUCUGAGUUAUGUUAACAUCAAACUUCUUCCCAUCCAAUAAUAAUAAAGGAACUUUAACGAAAAACUCCCGGUAUUGUUCACUUUAAUGAAAAACUACAUUUUUACACUAAAAAGUUAAUCCUGGUAUUAUUCACUUUACCCUUUAUUUUUUCCUUAUCAUUAAAACUCAAAGUUUUCAAGCCAUUUUCAUUAGUUUUCCUUAAUAAUAAUACAAAUGCUUCCGAAACAGCAAGGUCAUAAGAGUGGUGUCUUCUUAUGGGUUAUGUUAAAAACACCAACUCGGAACUUAACAAGUCCAAGUUUUAUCGUCAUUUGAGCAACAAUGUUGUCAAUUAUAAUCACUCGCUCGUUCUGAUGCAUACACCAUUAUGUUAUACAUCAAACUUCUGAAUAGGUCUAAUUAUUCACUCAUGUUAACAAAGCAUUCUAUGGUAAAAGUGAGGUCAUAAAGGUGUAAGUCAGAAACGCACUGCUAUUAGAAACCCUUCCAACAUGCCAAAUCUGACAGAAGAAGACGCCACCUUUAGCAUGAACAGCAUCAACAAUGGGUUUCCAGGCUUCAACUUGCUCCAUUGUCCAUAUACCAGGUGUGUUCGGGUACCUUCGUAUAUUAAAGAACCAAAAAUUUCAUCAAACUUUGAAACGAAAUAAACGCCCUCAAAUGCUUGUUAGUCUAUGAAUCUACUGUUGUUGAAAUUACCCUUGAGCUGUGUCGGAAACUCCAGUGGCUUCAGCUAUGAGAAGACCCCCAUUCGAAGUUCUCUGAGAGUAAUAUAAGAUAGCAUGUGGUUGAGGAACAUUGUUGUAUGAUCUCUGUCUGGUCAAUGGUGCUAAAACAAUUCUGGAAAGGAAAAAGAAAUUGUAAAUUAUAAAUACAGAGUGAUCAAGACGGAAUGUGGGUGAGGAACAUUAUCGAAUGACCUGUAACUACUAAUUGUUGUAUGAUCUCUGUCCUAGUUACAAUGUAAAUAUACAAUAAGCGUAUUCUGCACGAGCUCCUAGGAAUUUGACAAUCAAACAAUCUUGAACACAAAGCAAGUAAUUCAUAGCGGUCGACAUCAAUACAAACCAACGAGCAGAAACUCGCAAACGAAACCCUGGUUAUCCAACCAAUCAACUAAACCAAUUCCUUGCUUUACAAGUAACGUGAACAAGCAAAUGUUACAUAAUAAACCAUCCAAUGAAAGUUGCUGCUUUUAUUUCUGAAAAUUCAGGAUUCUUGCAUAGGCAAAAAAACAUUUGACAAUCACAAAAACUGCCCAGUAACCUGCAAGUUGCCCAAAAAAUAAGCAGUAAUUUCAUUUUUCUUGUAAGAAAACCGGGAUUUUCUGCAACCCUGUUUCCAAAUGAACAAAACCCAACAGCCCAAAUCUCAACUGCUCCAGCAGAAUAAGUCAACAAAAUCAAUGCAGAAUGUAGAAGAAUAUAAACUGUAGAAAAGGUUGAGCCCGUGAGUUAAGUUACCUAUGAGAAAGAUUGAAGUUUCCAAGUUUGUAAGGAGCAAGGAGAGGGCUUGUGGGACCACCUACUUGAGCUUGAUUAGUGGUAGCCAUUUCAAUUCAACUGGUUUCAGAGCUUGAUCCUUAUUUUUUAUUUGAUUUGAUUUGAUAUGCUCUCAUAUUGGUGUAAGAAUCCUAUGUGAACUCAACUAGUUAUAGAUAAAGGAGAAAUAAUAUGUUGGUAAUACAAAUUAAUAAGAGUUUGGAUACGUGGAAAGCUACAUCAUAUAAUGAGGGGUAUACUUUCAUCGUGCAUUUGAAAAGAAAGCACUAAUCACAACCACCUCUACACUAUUGGGACUUGAAGCAACGGGAAAAUAACCGACCCUCCACGAUAGAUGGGAGUUGGCUGUCGUUGCUUCUAUAAGCGCAAGAGUUCCCUGCUCACAAGGAAGCACGUUCUGCAAUUAGGGUUCUAUCACCAUUGGAAUAUAAGGUCUUGAGUGAGUAGAAGAAUUCUUGAGUGUGUUAACAGUAAUCAUGGCUGCACCAGGUAAGUCUUUCUUGUCUAAUUUCAUAUCGUGACCUAGUAUGCAUGCGAAUAACUAAGGUUAUUCCAACAAUUGGGAUAUUUAUACCGUUCGGGGAGAGGAGGAAGAGGAACUAUAAAACAACACUAGCACUAGCUGGGGAGGCAGAGGCAGUGGUAGGCCGGGCGGCUCCUUUUGAAAUGUUUGAUGACGUUUGUAAUUACGUAAUCAUGUUUUUUUUUUUUUUUCUUUUCUAACGUAGGAAGUAUGGUAUUGGUAUCUGAUUGGACUAUCUCCAAAGAAAAUAUUAAAUUUUAGGCAUAAAAUUUCAAUUUAAAAGUUUAUGUGGCACUUUAAUCUUUUUUGAAAUUUUGUUAUUCACCGAUGUGUCAAAUUUAAAUUAUUAUUUAUCACAUUAAUUUACUUCUAAUAAUUGUAGUAAGUUUUUUAAAACAGAAAAUAAUAAUAAAAACGAGAAAAAGAAUUUAGUAAUCACUUAAAAUAGAUUUGAAGUUGUUGUCAGAUUUGAUAGCUACCACCUUUGUUAAUCCAUAUCAUAUCACAUAGGAAUUGGUAUUUCACUUGAAAAACACUAAUACAAUCUUUAUUAACUGUUAUUGCUAAUAUGGACUUUUCAUCUCUGAUACCACAUGAAAGGGUAGCACAUUUUUAGCAUUUUGAUCAAAUAAUCUAUCAAAGCAGAGCCGAUGGCCCAAAAAUAUAUCCUCAAAUUAAAAGGGUUAAAAUUUGUGCUCACUUUGCACUUGACAAAUCCCAAAAUAGAAAAAUUUCUUCCAACUGAAAGGAGAUGUCAAAUGUGAUGCGGAAUGCCAUGUGGGAUAGAAAAACAACACAAUUUCUUCCAACCGAAAUGUUAUUAGUUGACAUGGAUUGACUGCAUCGCCUUUGACUGUCUUUUUUGGUAGCAUAAGGCUUGAGGGUCAAAUGCUUUUAUUUUUAUUUUUUUUAACGAACGACAUUAUCUACACUAAGGGGGAGGAGAUGAGUUUAUCCUUAUAAUGGGUAGCAUUAAUAUGGUUCAAAUUAGUCUUUGGCAAGAAUCGAAUAUAAGAUUUCUCACUUACAAGUAAAAAAGAAUACCACUAGACCGUAUUACUAAGUGUCGCUUUUAAUUUUUUUUUUUAAUGCAUGAAUACCAUUGCCAACCAAUAAGAUGGAAAAAAAAAUCAUUUUUAAUAGUUAAUGCAGUGCCACUUAAUACAAGGAUCUCGUGGUAUUUCUCUUCAUUUGUAAGUGAGAGGUCUUAAGUUUGAUUCUUACCAAAUGCGAAGUUGAGCCAUAUUAUUGCUAGCCCAUUAUGAGGCUUAAGCCCACUUUCUCAUCUCCUUAGUGUAGAUAAUAUCGUUUGUUCAAAAAAAAAAAGACACAACCAUGUAGCCCAGUGUAUUAAGAGUGCUGAUAAACUUACUUCAUUGUCUUAUCUCUUACUCAUUUUUUAAUAUAAAAAAAAUUGGAUACUAAUCUAAUCUCUUGUAAAAUGACAUCUAAGGACCAAGCAAAAAUUAAAAAAAGAAAAUAGGACUCUCUUCUUUGUUCACCAUCUUUCUGCAACUACCUAAAUCCCUUCAAAUAAUUUUUUUUUUUUUUUUUUUUUUUUGUGUUCCACAAAAAAAAAAUUCUUUUUUGUUGCCCUAGCUUAAUUAUAUAUAAUAGUUGUUCAAAACACUUUACUAAUAUAAUAAUUAUUUAAAAUUUUGAAAAAUAAAAUGUGAGACCAGAAGAAGGAAUUGGGCUUGGAGAGAUGGAAUUGGGUGUCCCGAAUUUGAAAAUGGGGCAUGAGGAUGAAAUUUUGAGAAUGUUGCAUGCAGCUUGGUCGUGAGAAUUGGAAGGGGAGGAAAGGGGACUGCGUUGGGGGUCUGGAUAGAGGGAAGGAAGGAGAGUUGCAAUCAGCUGGAGAACUGGUAAGUGACCGAAUUAUGGGAUUCUUACUAGAAUUAAAAUCUGGAAGGGGAGGCUUUGAAAUUCGCGGUGGGUGGAGUCUACCUGGAAUUUCAACGCUCUAAUAUUUAUUUUUUUUCAAAAAUUAAAAAAUAACUUAGAUAUAUACAUUAGAGGUUAUUUUAAGAAUAAUAGUGGACAAAAUAGUAUUUUUAUUUUUUAACUUUUUUAGUGGAUGAAAUUAUAAUGUGAGUAAGAAAAUAAGACUUAGGGUGGAUCUUGCAACACUCUAUAUUAAUAAAGUAUAUAUUUAACAUAUUCAUUGUAAAGAAAAAAAAUUUAACAUCUCUAUUUGAUUGGCCACGUCAACCAGUAAAUUUAAUUUUGACAAUAAUUAUAUUACACGUUCAUUGAAGAUGCUGUUAUCAAAUCAUCAUACAAUGCGCUAGUUGAGAAUAGAUGGCUGCCAAUGUGGACGGCACCAACGACCAACGACCAUUUGACAAUAAUUUGGAUGCCUUACUUUUAUCCAAAUAAUUGCAUCCUAUUGUAAAAUCGACGGCGUGUUCAGUGAAAUAAAUAAACAAGACACAAAAUUUACGAGGUUCCUCUGCAGUCAGUGUGACUGGAGUACAUCCUCGGGACAGCAGUGGUGCUUUCAUUAUAAUCUGAAAUAAUAAGAGUACAAAGAUAACUCUCUCUAUUAUCUCCUCUCCUCUUCCUUUCUUUUCUCUCUUCCUCUUCCUCUCUUUUCUCUCUUCCUUUCUUCCUUCCUAUCUCUCCCGUGAGUCUCCCACAUUCAUCUCCCAAUCUUUUUUUUUUGUGUUCCAUAAGACUUGCUUUUAUAGAAGCAAAUCACAAGCAACAUAGUGAAAGGCUUACUAUAUGCAUGUGAGUAUUUACUAUACACAUUACUAUACACAUGUGGUACUUUACUAUACACAUUACUAUACACAUGUGGGCAAACAUACCCACUAUUUACAACACUCCCCCUUAGAUGCCCACAUAUCAAUAUCAGUUUUUGGAUGCUCCCCCUGACGAGUAUCUCCCCCUGAUUUCAACUUCUUUAGGCUAAUCAUUGAUCAUUAUGCUUCAGUCUCUUAGCAAAAAGAGUUGCCGAAAUAGUUACUUUACUUGUUGUUAACUUUCCACAGGCUUGUUCUUGAACUGGGCUGGAGGGCCUCAAAGGUCUGAAUUUACUUCUUUUAUCUGGAGCUAAAUUUAAUUCAAGGGUGAUGGACACUUGAUCUUGAAUCAAACUUGUGAUUUCUUCAAAGACCUUCGAGGCUUGAUCUUGAAUGAAGUUGUACCGUGAGGAGUUUCACGUGACAAGUGAUCUUCGACUUUGUCGGGGAUGAAUCAGCACGUGUUUGUUGCGCUUGUCUCCACAUGCUUCAAUAUAUCAUUUUCACUUGCCUUACUUGUUACCCUUGCAUAAGUGGUAUUUUACCUGGGUUUCCCCCUACAUGUGUGGCAUCUUCUCUUGUAGGAUUUGUCCCCUGAUGCAGGAGUGGAAUGCAAACCCUUGCAUUUGAAUGGUUCAUCACUUCUUGGUGACUGGAGACCCAGCUCCAACAACAGUUGAAGAUGACUACUCUUGCUCUCGUCCCUGAAGAUAUGAGAUAAUCUUGCUCUGGUGUGACUUGUUUGAAGAUGUAUUCUCGGAGAGGAAGAAAACUGAGUAUUUCGAGAUGCUGUGUUGAAGAUGCAUUCUCGGAGAUGAGGAAGAGUUGGACAUGCUUGCAGGUCUGCCUUGUUAUGGAGAACGGAGGUCGACAUAUAUAGAGAUUUCCCAAUAGCAAGUGGUGGUGCUGUGCCUUUACUCUUGUCAGCAACUGUGGUGUAAUUAGAACAAUAAGAUUUACGCGUUUUCAACUUUGUCAGAGAUCUUUGACAAAGUUGCAUGCAAUAUCCGAAAAAGCUGAGAUUGCGUCUGAAAAAUGCCAACGAACUUUAUUCAGGAAAUCUGGCUUUUGAAAUUCGAAGAACGGUGCCUCUUUGAUCUCUGAACAAGUGGCUAUGUUGCCUCUUUUUUUAUAGAGACAUCAGUUCAAGAGUAUGCUCAGAAAGUUGCUGCCUGUAGAAAUUUCGCCCAUCUUGCACUUCUGAAAUUUUAUUUGACCUCUUUUUUCCUUCAUCAUUUUUGAAAAUGACUUGCUCAUCUAACAUUUGCUUAAAUUUGAAUCUUAGGAGUGAUACAGACGAGCAGCGUCAGGAUAAAAUAUGGCGCCCGUCCUUCUUAUCUUCUAAUGGUUCUCUUACGGUUGGGGACUCUGUGAUGAAGAAUAACAUAACCGCUACUGUGGUAGUUAGGAAUCUUCUCACUCCAAAGGAUAACAGGAUCCUUUCAAAACGAUCUAAUGAGUCGACCGUUCAAGACUCAUUGGCUCUUAGUGUUCAGUGUGCUAGCUCUGUUUCCAAUAUGGGCCAACACCUACUUGCUCAAACUCACCAAGUUGAAUCAUUGAUGGCUGAGGUGGCAAGUCUUAAACAAGAGAUUAGAUGGCUCAAGCACGAGAAUAGACUGUUACACGUGCUUGCAAAUAAUAACUCGACGAGCAUGAAAAGAAAGCUCGAUCAGCUGCGAGAAUCCGAAAGUCGGAUUCAAAGUGAUUACCAGAGGUUCGUUGCUAGAUUCCGAAAGCAACUGAUGUCUUCCCCUUCUGGUGUUUUGCCAAGUACUGGGAUGCCACAUGAUCAAUCUCCAGUGCCUCCCCCUUCUGGGGUACUUUCGAGUACUGAAGCUUCACAUGAGCAAUCUUUGUGAAGGCUCAAUCCUGUUUGUUUGUUUUAACUCAUGUGUAUGUACAUAUCUGUAAUUUCUUGGAGAUAUUAAUAGAUAAGCUUUAUUUCAUUCAAUGUAUUGUGCCAAAUACAAUAAAGCAUAUACUUCACUAAGAUGUGGUACUUCUGGACCAAAUAUUAAUUUAUCUUUACCCUUAUGAAAAUAAAUGAUUAUUCUUAGUGUCUUCAUCAUUUGAGUAUUCAACUCAUAAUCUUCAAUCCAUACGGUUCUUUUAAUAUCAUAAACAUCAUGGAUAAGAUUCGUGUUGGUAGAUUGUUCGAUCUGCAACCCGUGACAAUAAUUCUCUCAACACUUUAUAAUCUUUCUUGACUCUUCAGGAGUCUCAAUUUAAUAUCAUCAAGUCUUCAAGAGUUCUAAUUUAAUGUCAUUGACUCUUGCAAGAGAUUUUCGUAUGUUGCAACAAUAUCAUAAUGAUAGUACUCACUAAGACAAUUUAUACCAUCCAUUGAUAUUGAGUACAUAUUUUAUGAUUUACCCUUCGGGGGCUUACUUCAAGCAAUUUGAAUCCUUCAGGGAUUUUCUACACUUCAUGACACAUUUUUCUUUGGAAUUUAUACAGAGCAAUUUGCUCCCAUGUAUACUUGAGGGAUUUACUUAUGGAGAUAUGAUGUGGGCGACUCACAACCCUUCGUAUAUAAUUCUCUAUUUAUAUGAACUCGUUUACAAGAGUAUAAUUUCAGGUUUCAAUUAGUAACCUUGUGUCAUAUCAUGUGAGUGUAUUACACUGUAUUACAAAUGCCCAUAUGUAACCUCCUUGGUUCAACAUCUUCUGGCUAUUUGUAUUGUAUUCAAAUAUAUAGGUCCAUUUUUCCACGUUCUUACAAAAUUGUAAUGGAAUUGCCUUUCUCCAUUUUUGGCCAAUAAUUUUCCUUUUGUCGACGAACAAAAGAACGUAAUUCAAUAUUAACACAGCUCAUUGAUGAAUUUAGUAGCUACUUGUAAAAACCAAAAUUACCAUUGGUUAUCAUCAAUCCGUGAUCCCAUAUUCUCAUGUGCAUGCACAUGCAUAAAAGCUUUUCAUUUCUUUGGAUAUCCAUUACCUCUUCAAGGGCAUGACACUAUCUAUUCCAGGAUAGUCAUAAUUUAGAGAAUGUGGAUCAUAACCUCCUCUUGAGCAUUAUUGAGCUUGGAUUUUAAUCUCCACUUCCGGGGAGUUGAGUCAUUGGAACCUAUACGUUUAUCAUGCUACAUGCAUGAGACAUCAAUAUUCCCAUGUCCGUGGAUUGUCCUAUCUGGGACGUGUAUCCAUGCGGCGACUGUCAUGCUUCUGGCAUGCAACAGUUAUGCUUCAGGAAUGUAAUAGUUCAGUAGUGCCAUAUUUCUUCUUUCGAAUAACUGAACCUUUUGAGUCUAAAGGUUUGUCACGCUUCAGGCGUGCAACAGAGAAAUUAUUUACUAGCUCACUAUAUUGUCCAACAGGGACAUUAAUUCUUGUAGGCACAUUUGCAACAAAUAUAUGUCAUUUCAUCACUUUCUUGCAUCAUUAAAUGCAUCUAGCAUUUGAUUGAUAUAUCGUUGCAUCAUUCAAUUAUUCUUACUUCAUUUUUAUGUUGAUUGCUUCGUGAAUCAAAAUAAGACAAAUUCUCUUCAUUCUUCUGGAACGGUCUUUUCUUAUCAUUCUUUUGAAAUGAUAUUUUCUCAUCGUUCUUCUGGAACAAUGUUAUUUUCUCCCCCUAACGGUGGGAAAUUGUCUUAUCAAAAUGACGAUCCGCAAACCACGCGGUAAACAUAUCCUCAAUCAAGGGUUCCAAAUAUUGAAUGAUAGAUGGUGUUCAACAUCAAUGCCUAAUCCGCGAUGAUGCCUCAUUUCAGUACGUUGUGGCAAUGCAAUAGGCACAUAGAUAACAUAACCAAAAACUCGUAAAAGUAUAAUGCUUGGCUGGUUCCCAAACACGAGUUGUACUGAGAAGUAUUGAUGAUUGGUAACAUGUCUCAACCGAAUUAAUAAUGCAUCAUGUAAAGUUUACAUGUCCCCAUGUAGAAAACUGGCAAUUUCGUUUUAAUGAGCAGAGCGCGGGUAAUCAAUUUCAUUCACUUAAUAAAUGCUUCUGCUAAACCAUUUUGAGUAUGGACAUAAGCCUUAUUUAAUAGUCUAUAGACUGAGACUCUUAUGGCUUUUAUUACAAUUAAGUUAAGGCACUGCAGCACUUCAAACUUACGGUACUCAUCUAGGAACUUCAUGUCCUGAUCUUGAGGAUCAAGGGACUUCAUACCUGAUCUUUUUGCGUGAUGGAACUUCAGGUCUAAUCAUUUUUAUAUGAUGAGGAUCAAGAAACUGCAGGUUCUCAUCUGAUCAAUGAACUUUAGGUCCUAUAUAUACUCAUUGUAACAAAAGAUAAGUACAAUAAAUAAAUUAAAGCAAUAGGCGGUAAUUCCAGCCAUAAUGAAUAAAUUGCAUUUAAGUAAAUAAAGUUUGUGACAAGGGCUUUAAUUCAGCACCAUCAAAACUUAAAGCAAUAGGCGAUAAAACCGUCCAUGAUAAAUAAAUUGCUUUAAAGUAAAUAAAGCUUGUGACAAGGGCUUUGAUUCAACACCAUUCACAUAAAUAUCAAAACUUUAAAGCAAAGGGUAAUAAUUCUACCCACUAUAAAUAAAUUGCUUUAAAUAAAUAGAAUUUGUGACAUGGGCUUUAAACAAACACCAUACACAUAAAUAUCAAAGUUUUAAAGCAAAAGGUAAUAAUUCUGCCCACUGUAAAUAAAUUGCUUUAAAUAUAUAGAACUUGUGACAUGGGCUUGAAACCAACACCAUGCACAUAUAUAUCAAAGCUUUAAAGCAAAGGGUAAUAAUUCUACCCACUGUAAAUAAAUUGCUUUAAAUAAAUAGAACUUGUGACAUAGGCUUUAAACCAACACCAUGCACAUAAAUAUCAAAGCUUUAAAGCAAAGGGUAAUAAUUCUACCCACUGUAAAUAAAUUGCUUUAAAUAAAUAGAACUUGUGAUAUGGGCUUUAAACCAACACCAUGCACAUAAAUAUGCCAAAACAGAAAAUGCAAUGAUUAAGUCCUCAUCAUUUGCUUUUUCUUUUUCUUGGUCUACCACUUCUUUUGUUUGAUUCCUUUUAUUUUUAUUUUUAUUUCACAGUUCUGAAGUCAUUUUGGUUACUCAGUAAAUAAUAGUAACAAUAAGUUCCAAUUGGUGUUCCUCCUCCGAUGAGUUUCGAAAAAGUCGAAACGGUUCCCAUAAGUUUUGGAGUCAAGAGUGUUUGCAACUUAUGAGAAGAUCCAACCGUUAGAUUUAGUUCACAUUUUAGUAUGAUAUGGAUAAGAGGAUACCGAACAACUUUCGUGAAGAAACAAUUUCAAUCUGAGCUACCGAAAUGGAGUUUUGGUACUCAUAAGGUGGAUGUCCAGUUUUCUGCGGAAAUUGGAAACUAGUUUGGUAUUUCAGACAUCUGUGAUGAUCGCACCGUUAAAGUGUUUUGAAAAUUUGAUAUGUUCUAAAUACUGAGCAGACGAACAACUUUCAAGAAGAAAGUAUUUCAAUCCGAGGACCGCAAGUUGGAGUUCCAAGGUUGUUUACAUGGCUGUCAAAUUCUUUACGAAUUUUGAGUCUGAACUCUUUUGCUUCUGCAAAGGAUGAUAUACAGUUAUACAACAAUAUAUAUAGUUGCUUCAAGAAAAUCAAUUGUACUGAGAUUUGAAGAUGAAAUGAAAUUUUUUUUGUUAUCUGUGAUAUUCCAGCUGAAGGAGGUGAACAUGAUUUGUGACGCUGUGCUUUCCACUGACAUAAGAGCUUCUCGUGCUGAUAACGUGUUGUAAAAUCGACGGCGUGUGCAGUUGAAUAAAUAAACAAGACACAAAAUUUACAAGGUUCCUCUACAGUCAAUGUGCCUGGAGUACAUCCUCGGGGCAGCAGUGGUGCUUUCAUUAUAAUCUGAAAUAAUAAGAGUACAAAGAUAACUCUCUCUAUUAUCUCCUCUCAUCUUCCUCUCUUUUCUCUCUUCCUCUUCCUCUCUUUUCUCUCUUCCUUUCUUCCUUCCUAUCUCUCCCGUGAGUCUCCCACAUUCAUCUCCCAAUCUUUUUUUUUUUGUGUUCCAUAAGACUUGCUUUUAUAGAAGCAAAUCACAAGCAACAUAGUGAAAGGCUUACUAUAUGCAUGUGAGUAUUUACUAUACACAUUACUAUACACAUGUGGGAAAACAUACCCAUUAUUUACAUCACAUCCAUGCUUUUUGGUUCAAUUAUUUUCUUUUUCUGUUUCAUCCUUUCAUUUGAUUCAUCAUGCUCAACGGGACCGUCAUUGUUACCAAGGGCCAUCAUCACUUUUGGUAGGAUUUUCAUUUGAAACUUGCUUCACCUUGUUACUCUUUUUCAAUUAUUCCAAUUAAAGAGGUAGAUGAUGCUUUAUUGCAGUGAUGGAAAACAAUUAUGCUUAUGUACUCUUGUGCAGUUUCGAUCCUCAUAGAUUCGCUUCCUCCUAAACCCAAAACCACUUAGACUUUCUUAACUUUUGGAAUCUACUACAUAUGUUACCUUCCAUUUUUUUGCCAUAAAAACAUCUUACCACUCACGUGGAGGGAUAUUUUUCGUCAAUCCACUUCCUAAAGCUCGCUACAAUGAAUUUGCACAAAUUCAAAAUGCAUUUUUUUAGCAACGUUGGAGUCAGGUAAUGAAGAGACGGGUUUGAUUUUGAGAAGGGUUGUUGAAAAAUUGAAGUGAAAAAUGAUUAGUGGCAUUUACAUUUGUUGUUUGGUAGAUGGUGGCUGCAUGUGUUUUUUCUGGGUUUUUGGUUCUUUAUUACUUAGACUUACUAAAAAUUCAAAUUAUUUAUUGUUUUGUUGUAGGCAUAAUUUACUGACCAAUUAUGGAGGCCAGAAAGAGAGAGAAGGUGAGGCAUGGAGAGAGAAGAGAGGGAUGUGUAAUUGUGAGAUGGAGAGAAGGUUCUAUUCCACCCCAUUGUGCCUUUAUUUAUAGUAGUAGGGAAGGUUAAUUCCUUACACUUUUAGGAUUACAACUCUAAUAGGAUAUUAACUACUAAGGGAAUAUUCAAAGAUGGCCCUAGAUACACUAUGAUUUAUACAAUCGCAUUCCUAAUCUAAUAGGACUACAACACUCCCCCUUGAGUGUGUAAAUACUCAACUAAAUGGCGCAUUAGGUCUUCAACGAUGAAGUAAGUACAAUUGAUGAAGUUGUCAGCACAAUGAGCGAAUGAGAGUCUCAUAUCAAUGAAAGAAUGCAUAAAAAGUAAAACUCACAAAACCUCGCUAUGGUAAAACCUAAGGUGGGAGAAAAACCCAUAGACUAAGGAGAAAAGUGAGAAGUUGCAUUAAAUCAAAACUAUACGUCUUCUGGACGCAAGUAGAAGAGCUCACAAAGGUAUGAUCAGCCCAGGAUGGGUGCCUCGUCAAAACCUAGUUAGGUAGCAAAAACCCAGUAGGAAAAAUGCUCCUAAUCGUAGGAAAAAAAAAUACAUUAAGAUCAAGUGAGUAUACUUCUGGAUACUCCCUCAGAGUUUGACAGAACUUCCAAAUGAGAACUACAGGCAUUGCAUAUGAAUAGUUAGGCAGACCAGUUCCUUAGACAAGCUUAUGGAAGGUUGACUUCGGUAGUGACGUCAUGUAGAGGUCGGCAAGGUUGUCUAGGAUUGGCUUGCAUGACUUCAAUCACCUGAUGCUUUGCUGAUGUAGAUGUAGAUGCAAUAGGUCUUGGCGUUGACUUUGUUGAUGUAUCAUGUCUUGGUCGGGUUGAUACAUGCGGCAUAGUCUUCAUGGAUCAUCAUCGGGACUCAACGAUGGAUGAUAACAGCAAGUACUUUGAAUAUGCUCAACAAGAACUCCUAACCAUGUCUUACGUGUGGCAUAGUGAAGUGAGAUAUAUGAUGCUUUAUUGCAGUGACGGAAAACAAUUAUUCUUAUGUAGCUUUGUUCAAUUUCGAUCCUUGCAAAUUAGCUUCCUCCUAAACCCAAAACUACUUAGACUUUCUUAACUUUUGGAAUCUACUACAUAUGUUAGCUUCCAUCUUUUUGCAGUAAAAACAUGCUGCCACUCACGUGGAGGGAUAUUUUUCGUCAAUCCACUUCCUAGAGCUCACUGAAUUAAUUUGCAAAAAGUCAAUAUGCAUUUUCCUGCAGCGUUGGAGUCAAGUCAUGAAGAGACGAGUUUGAUUUUGACAAGGGUUGUUGAAGAAUUGAAGUAAAAAAUGAUUGCUGGCAUCUACAUUUGUAGUUUGGUGGAUGGUGGCUGCAUGUUUUUUUUUGGGUUUUUGGUUCUUUAUUACUUAGACUUACUAAAAAUUCAAAUUAUUUAUUGUUUAACAUCGUAAUAUGUGUUUUGUGUCGGGUUUGUUGUGAUGACUGUAUUGGACAAUUGCUAAAGACAAAUCUUAGUCUAUUAGGUCCUUAUGCAUAGACACUGUUCUAAAAAUUCAUGUCUAGCAUAGCGCAGUCUAGGCGCUAGGCAACUGACCACUAUCCCGAUUAGUUGAAAUAGGGCACCUACACCUGCUUAGGCACCCGCCCAGACUAGCCUAGGUACCUUCCUAGGUCGCAACUCUCAUUUAGACAGAAAAUGGAUAGAAUUCAUUUUGCAUUUUAUUUGUUUCAAUAUAUUAUAAGAGACUUGUUAGAUAAUUAAAUGGAUAUACUUUAUAUGCUUGUUCCUCAUGUUUUUAUUAUAUUCUAAUACUUUAUAAUCUAUGUCAUUCUAUUUUACAAUUUAUGUAUUUAAGUGAAAUUAUCUAUUUUUUAAGUAUAAAUAGACACCUAUUUAUAUGAUGUAUAAUAAAUUUCAUUGUGACGAGAACACAAGUGGUACACCACGUGUUUUAAUAGAAGUGGUGGGAAAUUUUAUUUUUUUUAAUUAUUAACUUUUUAGCACACAUAUCCUACCAUUUGUAUAAUGACACGUGGUGCCCCAUCCCCUAUACCGGUCACACUGAAAAAUCUCUCCACUCUGGGAGGUUAAAGUGAAAGCAUGCCUUAAAUAACCAAAAAGAGAUUAAUGCAAUUUCAACAUUGAUUGUAAUAGAGGAGCAGUUAGCAUCAUACUAAUAUUGGAGUAGAGAGACUUGUAACAGAGAAAGCUCAACCAAAUAUCUUACAGAAUGAAAUUGAAGAAGAAGAACCAGAGAGCCUGAUGGGUACAACUUGGGAGAACUUAGAAGCCUAUAUGGGAACUCAUCUAGUGAUGAAGAACCGGAUUCAAUGAGAAGGAAUAGGAGGUAGAAGAAACAACCCAAGUUUAAACAUCAUAGAAAAGAAACUGAUGUCAGUACCAUAGAGUUUGAUUUGGGGAUGUCUUUUCUUAUUAGACUAAACAUAUAAACCAAGAUCAUGUAACAUGAAUCACAGCCACCCAAACACAAACUGUAGUUCAUGACUAUUGUACAGAGUAGAAAUCUUACCUGCAGAUGCACCAGAAGAAGAAGCCACUAUAUAUAGGUCUUAGUCCGAGACAGAGCGUAAUAUCUGUGAGAGGAUAGACCACUAUAUAUAUAGAACAUAAUCCUAGCCAAAACCAAUAAGGAUUUUCCUAUUAAAAUCCAUACAGCAAACUGAAAUUGUUUACAAUAGGUGAAUCAGUUCCUUGUUCUAUUUGAAUCCUAGAACAACAUGGAUUAAUAAUCAGUACUCAUUAAGACUUUCUAUCAAACUUGAGACGAAUCACCAAUUCUCUAGACUCAUGCUCAUAUUCUUGCAUUCCCAAGUUCCAAGGAAUUCAAAGAAGUUGUGAAUAGACACUUUUAUAAUAUGCAGGUCUUACGAGUUAACCACAAAUGGUUGGUACAAGGUUAAGGCUCAAAUUCAUGCCCUUGGCAAGUGAUGCUUCUAAUGACCAAUCUGAUAGACAUUCUCCUUUAUAUGUAAAACAUUUGUUCCAAAUCACACUUGUGGAAAAGAUGAAAACAAUACGAGUGUGACCAGUACUUGGUUGGCUGAGAGAUAUGCUGAUGAUAUGAAGAUCAAUCCCUUUUUUUUUUUAAUAAAGGACGGCAUAUAUAUAUGAAAAUCAAUCCUAAAAUGGAUGUUAAGACAAUGAAAGCUACAAUGAGGGAUUAUCCAUUCUAAUCCCUCUCCAAAUGAUAGGAUUGUGAGUGAUAAGUUUAUUUCAUUCCAAUCCCCUUUGAAUUUUAAGAGUUGCCUAUUCCAAUCUAAACCUAGAGACGAAACGCGGCCAUAUAUUACAAAGACAAAGAUUCUAAAACGGCCUUCGCUCAGAGAAGAAAAAAAAGCCAUGCAGUGAGAACAUCUAAGGGAAACGAGUUGAUCCUCAAUAAACGCCUCAAUAGAAUGACGUAUCUUUGUUAAAGCAUCUGCCACAAAAUUAGCUUAAUCUAAAACAUGAUAGAAGCUGAUAUGAUCAAGCAUCCCAUGUUUGCUGAAAAGAUGAAAGAAGGAUCUUUCCAAGUUUAGGAAGGUGGGAGUUGCCAAAGAGAAACCGAUUUGAGCCGCAUCUGCUCCAAAUAUCUCAGGCAAACGGUCAGCUGACAAAAUGCGGUCAAUGGCUUCAACAUCUUGAGAAUAAAAGGCACAACUAGGAUCAAUUGGUUGUACUUUAUAUAGGGAUAAGAAUUGAGUUUCCUCUUUCACAAAUGUUACUUAUUCAUUACGGCCAUUAUACUGUCAGUAUAACUUUUCCGGCUUCUAAGUUCGGAACCCUCCCAAACAUUGGACACUACAAUACUAGAUAAUGCAAUAAGAUACAACAGUACAAUACAAUAUAGUUGAAAACAAUCCAUCUAAGAUAGUACAGACUCAAUCGGACGAAUCAGGAGCCCUAGUGUUCAAGCUUCCACCUUUGCGGUAAACUUAAGUGGUGGCUUCAAGAAAUGGAUAAUCAGUGUAACCAAUGACGGGAUCAGGUAUGUAGAAUGUCUCUCUGUUGUACUUGUUUAGAGGAGCAUUAAGUUCAAAUCUCUUUGGCAAAUCUGGAUUCGCCAAGAAAAUACGGCCAUAAGCAAUAAGAUCUGCACUGCCCUUGGCCACAGCACUGUUUCCAUCUUCCCUAUCAUAACCACCAGCAGCAAUGAAGGUACCAUGGAAAGACUUUCUCAUGGGAAGAAGACUCUGGUGGGUUUCAUCUUUUUCCCCCAUUGUCUUCAUCCUCGGCUCAACCAUGUGGCAGUACACGAUUCCAUAUUUGUUCAAGGCAUUGGCCAUAUAGAGGCCUAAUUCUUUUGGAUUUGAAUCCCCUGAGUCCAUAUAGUCAGCAAAUGGAGAUAAUCUAAUUCCAACUUUAUCUGCUCCUAUUUCGUUAGCGACAGCUUCAACAACUUCCAGAGGAAGGCGGCAACGAUUCUCUAGAGAUCCACCAUAUUGGUCUGUUCGAUCAUUCACAUGAUCUUUCAGAAACUGAUCAAGAAGGUAGCCAUGCGCCCCAUGAAUUUCAACUCCAUCGAAGCCUAUAUAGCAGAUUAACAAUUUCAACAUACUGACGGUAUUAGAACCUUAAGCAUUGUAGCUGAAUUACCAAACAAAUAAUAUAAAGACAAACUACCGGCUUCAAUAGAAUUCCUUGCAUAAGCUUUGAAGCAAAUUGAGUUGUUGUAAAUUUUCUUUCAUUUUAACGUAAAGACAAAUUACCAGCUUCAAUAGAAUUCCUUGCAGCAAGUCUAAAAUCAUUGACAAUUUGUGGAAUUUCAUCUGUCCUUAAUCGUCUUGGAGGCGUGAAUUCAGAGGCAUCGAUGCCAUUUAAUCGUAUCGGCUUGUCAGUAGAAGAUAUUGGAGCUUGCCCAUUUGGUUGAUAACCUGUAAGCAAGGAGAGAAAGAAUUACAACCUGAAGUCUAACGACAGUAACUAACAUCCACAGCAGCACUCUUUUAAGUGGGAAUCCUUUGUUACAAAUUACUAUAACCACACGUGCUAUAUACUAGUUCUGAAUUCUGAGUUAUGUUAACAUCAAACUUAUUCCCAUCCAAUAAUAAUAAUAACAAUGCUUCCGAAACAGCAAAGUCAUAACAAGUCCAACUCGGAACUUAACAAGUCCAAGUUUUAUCGUCAUUUUGAGCAACAAUGUUGUCAUUUAUAAUCACUCGCUCGUUCUGAUGCAUAUACCAUUAUGUUAUACAUCAAACUUCUUAAUCGGUCUAAUUAUUCACUCAUGUUAACAAAGCAUUCUAUGGUAAAAGUGAGGUCAUAAAGGUGUAAGUCAGAAACGCACCGCUAUUAGAAACCCUUCCAACAUGCCAAAUCUGACAGAAGAAGAGGCCACCUUUAGCAUGAACAGCAUCAACAAUGGGUUUCCAGGCUUCAACUUGCUCCUUUGUCCAUAUACCAGGUGUGUUCGGGUACCUUCGUAUAUUAAAGAACCAAAAAUUUCAUCAAACUUUGAAACGAAAGAAGCACCCUCAAAUGCUUGUUAGUCUAUGAAUCUACUGUUGUUGAAAUUACCCUUGAGCUGUGUUGGAAACUCCAGUGGCUUCAGCUAUGAGAAGACCCCCGUUCGAAGUUCUCUGAGAGUAAUAUAAGAUAGCAUGUGGUUGAGGAACAUUGUUGUAUGAUCUCUGUCUGGUCAAUGGUGCUAAAACAAUUCUGGAAAGGAAAAAGCAAUUGUAAAUUAUAAAUACAGAGUGAUCAAGAUGGAAUGUGGCUGAGGAACAUUAUCGAAUGAUCUGUAUCUAGUCAUCAACGGUGAAAAUACAAUUCUAAACAGGAAAAACAUAUAAUAAACCAUAAAUACAACCUUCAGACUUUGUAGGAAGCAUUAGUUUGCUAAGGCUCCUUCAUAACAAAUUCGUUUUUAGUUUUCUUGUUUUAGUUAAAAAGGAGAAACGAGGGAGGAAGAAGGAAUUUGGGGCGAAAAUGUAUGAAAUAAAAAGUCGAAUUGUAGAUUAUCUGAAUUUGCUAAGGCUCCUUCAUAACAAAUUCGCUUUUAGUUUUCUUGUUUUACUUAAAAAGGAGAAACGAGGGAGGAAUAAGGAAUUUGGGACGAAAAUGUGUGAAAUAAAAACUCUAAUUGUAGACUAUCUGAAUUUGCUUUAUGUUCUUCAUUUUCGGUAUCAUUCCAUGCACAUUUGGUCCCUCAUCCAUCCCUUCCCCUUCCCCUUCCUCCUCCUCCUCCUCUUCUAUCAUGCAUUUUCUCUUUUACUUAAAAUUAAAAACUAAAAAUCAAAUACGAAAUCGUUACCAAACACAACCUAAACAAAGCAAUGUCUUACGAAGUGACCAUGGCCGAAAGGACACAUACUUUUAACAAUCUAUUGCAUCUAUUUUCAACAAUUAAUCAAUGAAAUAACUCAAGUGUACUGUUGUUUUGAUUUAAUUUGUAACAUCUGUACUAUUUUAUAGACAAAGAUACAGUUACUCUUUUUUUUUUUUUAGGUAAACUGGAAUUACACCAGGGCAAAGCCAGAGUACAACAGGAAAACCCACACAGAGGACUAACAUAGCUAAAACCAUUGAAACGACAAACAACAGAAUGAUCCAGGGCCAAGGACCAACACUAGUUCCGACAUUAUGUCACCCUUAAUCAUUCCAACAUAGACUCAACUUAGUGUGGGCAAGGUAGACCAUCCUUGUUCAACUUCUUGUCUCCUUCCCAACAUCUGUACUAUUUUAUACCAACAUGAUUCUCUCCAGAUUCUUUUGGUGAGAAUCUUGUCUGUUCAUCAUAAAUCGUGCGAUCAGUUUUUGUCAACUACUGUUCGUGUUUUAUUUUAAAUAAAAAUAUUUAAAAUAAUUUUUGACCGCACGAUGUACGAUGAACAGACAGGAUAACGGAUUUCCAAGAUUCUCACAAAGAGAAUCCGACGAGUAUCCGGAAUCUAUUUUAUAGACAAAGAUACAGUUACAAACAGUCCUUGUCUCCUUCCCCAAAUCAUUCUUCGUUUUUGUAUAGCUAUAUUUGACACACACACAUAAUAAACCACACAGUACGCUAAACUUGAAUAUAGACAAGCAGUAAUUUCAUCUUCUAUUUUUCUUGUUAGCCAAUAGCCAUCUGCAGACCUAGCUACUCUCUGAAUCCAAGUUCGGAUCUCCUCUCAUAGUUUUUACAACAUUAUAUUAAAAUAACGCCCGAAUAAAAUAAAUUAAACAAUUACACGACAGAGAAAUUUAAGAAGUAAACAAAUAGGAACAAUGUAUGAAAGUUUUAAGUACCUAUGAGAAAGAUUGAAGUUUCCCAAUUUGUAGGGAGUGAGGAGAGGAAUUGUGGGAGGUUGAGCAGCAGCAGACAUCUCAGAAUUCGAGUCGGUCGUCUACCACCUGAUCUUGCACUUGGCGUUUUAUACUGGAUUCUGGGAUGAAGGAAGGAAGGAAUGAAUGAAAACAGGACCCAAUUGGGUCUUUUAUACGUUCGGUAGGAGCUUAAAAGUCCGCCCUGCAGCUUUCCUCCACAAAAGUCAGAGAAGGCCGGGUCCCACAUCUCCCCUCCCUUGUGUGGUGGUGGCGGCGGCGGACGUCGGUGGGUGGAUGAUGGAUCUCUCCAAAGCAUUAAUUAAAUCGAUUAGGUGAAGAGAGGUAGGAAGGUUUGAUGAGGUCUGUAAUUACGUUUACGUGGGUUGAAAAUAAACCAGUUUUAUGAGGUCUGUAAUUACGUUUGCGUGGGUUGAAAGUUCACCAGUUUUCCCCAUGAAAAAGGACGUCUACGCACGUUCAUUUCGAUUUUGCUUUUUCAUCCUGCAUUAUUAGGCCAUGGUUAGAAAAAAUAUAUUAUAAUUUUGUAAAAAAAUUAAUUUUAAAUUAAUAGUGUCAGAUCAUAUUUAUAUACUAUCGCUAACCAAAUGAGCUAAACAUAGCCUCAUCAAUUUCCGAUGGAUAGCUAGACUAAAAUUCUAUGGAGCUCAUCAAGCCAUCAUUUGGCUAAAGGGGCAUUGGGCUGGCCAAAUGUAGCCCCCCUUCUUAGCCCUUUUUGGAGCCCAGCUCCUCUACUGCACUAUUUGAGUCAAAUUCAAUAACUAUGUUUGAAAACAUUUAAUGGAAGUUUAAUUAAAUUAAUCAAUAAAUUUAAUAUAUAAACUUAAAACUAAGUAAUUAUUGAGAGGGUUAUGUUUAGCCACUUCAGUGACGGUAUAAGUAUGAUGCGAUAUUGUUCAGUCAUUUCGGUUAAUGAUGGCCUACGGUUAGAAUUUUGAGGAUAUGUGAGACUAAAUGCAUGUUAGUUACAAAAUUAUGUUUGUUUAGAUCACUUGAAAUAUUUGACAACUUAAUAAAGAAAAACCAACUUAAAAUCCAUGAAUUAGAAAACUCAUUUUCUUUUUUGGUUUUAUUAAGUUGUCAAAUAUUUAAGCUUUUGAAUACAAACUAAUAUAAUCUUGUGGCUAAUAUACAUUUGGUCCUCACAAAUCUUUAAAAUGAAGACCUUACUUGAUCAAUGAAUUUAUGACAAAUUAAAUAGUCUAAAAAUAAAAGGCUCGAAUUAGGGCUAGGUUCAGUUCAAAUCAGUUCAAUUUUUUUUUCAGUUUGGGUUUUUUUUGGUUCCAAUUCGGUUUUUUUCGUGAUUUUUUUUAAAUCUUUUUUUUUUUGUCAAAAAUAUAAAGAAGAGUAAUUUUACUUUUUUUUUUUUCCGAUGAACUAAGAAAUUAAAGAAGGAACUUGAAUUAAAACUAGGGCAACUCGCAAUGAUGGCUGCAUCAACAAAUCAUCCAUAUCUACAAUACGAACAGAAACCUUUGUAAAUCAUAAAGUCCUUAAUGCUGAAUCCUUUAAGAACCAAGACUUGAAAACCCUAAAUCUGCAAUACAAACCCACAAGUAACAAACAAACCCACAACACAAAAAUCGACCAAAUCUGCAAUACAAACCAAACUCCCUCCAUGGCGCCAUGUCGCUGCCUCCGUUUUCCGGCCAAACCAAGGCGAUUUAACAUAAAAAAAAAAGGUACCAUUCUCUUCGUCUCAUCUAGAAGUAUGAUUUUUGUUUUUGAAUCACUUGAUUUCGUUGAGUAUUCAAGAAGUUAUGAACGUUUAAAGUUUACUCAGUUUCUGGCGAGUUUUCAAGUUUUCUAUCUUAUUCUACACUUUCCUAUCUUCAUUUUGAUAUUUUAUGGGUCGAAUUUGGUUAAGAAACGAUUGAGUUAUAAAGCUUUGAAAAUUGCCCAAGAACUCCGGGACACUUAACGGAGUUUUUAACGGAAUGACCAAAAUGAUGGAUGGUGGACAAUCUCAAGGACCACUUUUAUCGAUUUGAAAUGUUAGGGACCAAGGUGAUGAGUUAUGCAAAUCUCAGGGACUAUUUUGACUAUUUAGCCUUUUUUUUUUCAUAAACGAAAAUAAUUUUUUUUAAUGAAGAUAGAAAAGUGUAGAAUAAGAUUAUACCUAUUUGGAAGCCCAAUGGCUGCCGGAGAUAGCCGGAAAAUAGCCUCAAAGUUGACUGGUCCGAGGGAAAAUUGGAAAACUCGCCGGAAACUGGGUAAACUUUAAACGUUCAACUUCUUCAAUACUCAACUAAAUCAAGUGAUUCAAAAACAAAAAUCAUACUUCUCGAUGAGACGAAGAGAAUGGUACCUUUUAAGACGGUUAAAUCGCGGUGGUUUGGCCAUAAAAAGGCUCAAAAGUGUCUAACUCGAGACCAAGACAGCCACUUUGGAACCGUUUUCCGGGCAAACCACGGUGAUUUAGCCGUCAAAAUAGGUACCAUUCUCUUAUUAUCGUUGAGAAGUAUGAUUUUAGUUUUGAAUAACUUGAUUUCGUUGAGUAUUGAAGAAGUUAUGAACAUUUAAAGUUUACUCAGUUUUUGGCGAGUUUUCCAGUUUUCCUUCGGACCAGUCAACUUUGAGGCUAUUUUCUUGCUAUCUCCGGCAGCCAUUGGGCCUCCAAAUAGGUAUAAUCUUAUUCUACACUUUCCUAUCUUCAUUUUGAUAUAUUAUGGGUCGAAUUUGGUUAAGAAACGUUUGAGUUAUGAAGCUUUAAAAAUUGUCCAAAUUUCCAGCCAAGAACUCCAGGACACUUAACGGAGUUUUUAACUAAAUGACCAAAAUGAUGGAUGGUGGACAAUCUCAAGGACUAAUUUUAUCGAUUUGAAAUGUUAGGGACCAAAGUGAUGAGUUAUGCAAAUCUUAGGGACCAUUUUGGCUAUUUAGCCCAAAAAAAAUUGCAAACUUUAAAUGAUAAUAGAACAAAGUAAUACUAAUUUAUAAUAAAGAAGUCAGGUUGUUAAUAGAUGAAUUUGAUUGAAUUUUUAUUGUGUUAGGAAGUGUUAGGAGGAGGAUACAAUUAUCUUACUAGACUACGACACUUGUACAUCAUUAGCAUCGCAAGUACUCAUUUUCCAAAUGUGCAUUACAUUUGAUUUUAAAAAUUUGGUAUUCCUACCAUUAUCCUGAAAACAUAUAUAUUCACAUAUAAACUUUGUUCUUAUUGUGAGGAAACUCCAAAUGUUGAAGCCAUAUUCUUUAAUUGGUCUAUGAUUGAGGAGUGACCGUUGAAAUGUGUAGACUUCAAAAGGAUGUCUAACCUAAUAAUAGUGGUAAUUGUGGUUGAAUCUGAAAUAUUUGACUGCAAAUUCACCGGUUCUUUAGACCUUUCUGAUUCUCUUCGUUAUCUUUACUGGCAUGAUAUCCACUGAAAUCUUUACCGUAAAAUUUUACUCUAGAAAAUCUGGUUGAGCUUCAUAUGCCCGUAUGCAAUUUUAACAUUGAUUGUAUCAACAAGAAAGAUGUAAGACAAUGAAAGCUACAAUGAGGGAUUAUCCAUUCUAUAUAUGAAAAUCAAUCUUAAAAUGGAUGUUAAAAAAUUGAAAGCUACAAUGAGGGAUUAUCCAUUCUAGUCCUUCUCCAAAUGAUAGGAUUGUGAGGGAUAAGUUUGUUUCAUUCCAAUCCCCUUUGAAUUUUAAGAGUUACCUAUUACUUUAGUCUAAAGUAGGGGGAGGUGGCAUUGUGCAAUUUUGGGGUACAUUUCAGUUUACUUACGAAAUUGCCAUUGAGUCUCUCUGUUCCCUCAUUUAACGUUAUUUGCAAAAUUGCCAUUGGGCUUCAGAAAGGGUUUUGGGUCUUUGGGCUGGAAUUUCCGUCCAGAUUGGAAUUUUCGAUUAUUCGAUCCACGCGUUGAUCAUCGCUGGAUCGCCAGCUGUGUGGUAUUUGGUGAGGGGAUGGGUUACGUGUCCAUCAUUGUCGGAAGGUUUCCUUCGACUGCAACUUCUCGACUUUUCGUUCUGUUUCAACUUCUCUCUCACAAGCCUCUGCUUCAGUCGCUCUUGAUCUUCGCCUUUUCUAAGGCGUUUGAGGGACAAAAACCGAAAGCCAAACCACCACCACAAACGAAGUCACAAAUAGGGAUGGGCAACGGUUAUGGCGGACGGGUAACCGCGAUUAUUUACCCAUAACCAUUUAUACUUAUAUCCGCAUAAUUGUUUACCCGUUGGGUAAUUGCCCAAACAGUUAUACCCAUACUCAUAACCAUUUAUAAACGGUUAACCAUACCCAUAACAGCAUACCCAUUUAACCAUAACCGUUUAAUACCAGUUUACUCAUUUACUCUUUUUAACCUGUUUAAUUUUUAUUUAUUUUUUAUCAUUACCUCUUUUUUCACCCUUCUACAUGUUUUUUAACAACUUGAAAAUUAAAAAAAAAAUGUCAUAAUUUUUUUUUGGCAAUUAAACACCGUUAUAAGCACAUUCAUCUUACAUUUCCGUAUUAAAAUUUUUUAAAUCCUUAUCUCAUUCUAAUAAUUGAAAUAAUUUCCGGCAAAGACACAACGGUGUGCACUCGUACGUGGAUUAUUUAUAUGCUCAGCAAGCACCCUUAUAUGCAAGAAAAGGUUGUAACGGAAGUUUGAGAAGCAGCAAAUCUGAAAGAUGACUCAAGCAUUGUUGAACUUGCAGACAAUCUUAAUGAAGAUGCCCUUAAUAAAAUGCAGUAUGUCUUAGUAGCUUUGACUGAGACACAAAGGCUCUACCCUGUAAUUCCACUGGAAAUUUGACUAACAUCUUAACUAAAUCUAAUGCAUGCAUACUGCAAGGGAAAUGAUUUCAGUGCGCUCCCAUUUAUUUUUCUCACUUAAAUUUCUUUUGAUUUAUUCAAUUUAAGAAUAGAAAUACUCCAUGGAUCAUCGUUUAUUACUUUUUAAUUAAUUAAAACACUGCUAUAUAAACCACAUUAUAGUCAAUAGUAUUGAUCUAAGUUUUGUUUGAUAGAGAACAUGAUUUGUGUUAAUUUUAUAUAUAUAAAAUAAAUAGAUAAACGGUUACUCAUUUAUAACCAUGAUUAAUACUCAUAAUCAACUAUUUAUAUUUUACGGAUGAACGAUUAUACCUAUAACCGUUUAUUUAUUUAAACGGUUACCCAAAUGAUCGUGUAACCGCGGAUCAUCCCUAGUUACGAACGCCACUCUCACUCACCCUCCACCGUUACACACGCACCCAAUCAUAAUUCUGAAAUCCAAACACAACCCAGAUGUUAAUCCUUCAGAGAAUGGCAAUGGCCACUUCUUCUUCCUUCCUCUUAAUCCCUCUCCUCAAUACUCUUCUUUGCUUUCCCCAGUUAAACACCAAGCUCCGAGUUCAGGUCUCUGUCCUUGUACGGCGGUAGAACUGGAGACUCCACCUCCUCGGCGAUGGCCACAGAGGCUCAGGUCUCGACCCAAGACGACAAAUUGAAGGAUGCCCAGAUGGAGGUAGCUGAUAAACCUGAGACAGUCGUGCUUCCAACCAACGAGUCCUCCGAAAGCCUCAUCAUAAUUCGACACACGGUAUUUAUUGAAAUUUCAUUGCUUUGGAUUGGAUUUAUGAUUGUUUUAUGUUAAAUUGAAGUAGGGUGCUUUCCUGUUGAAUUUUUUGAAUUUUUAGAUUCUUAGGAGCUUCCCCUUUUUGAAAGUUUGAUGCUUUUAAUUAACUAUUUUCAAUUCUGCGUUACUAAUUGUCACCUGAUUCUAUUGUGAAGAAUGAGGAAGUGAGGAUGAAGAAAAUAAGAACCUAACUUUUCGGUAAUUUGAAAUUUGAUCGAAUAGGACAUGGAAAAAUGGGUGUACAUCAGUAGAUAAGCUGGGAAAAUUUUCAAGACUUGGAUUGUCUGCCCUCUAAUUUUGGUGCCCUCCCAGUGCCCUCUUGUUUUUGUGGUCAUGGUUAAGCCACAUCAACAUUUUAUAGUACUAUUUCUUUUUGUUUUAUUAUUUUUAUAAAAAAAUGAUAUAAAAUAUUGACGUGGCUUAACCGUGACCACACAAAACAGGAGGGCACCGAAAUGGGAGGGCAGACAAUCCAAGUCCAAAUUUUCAUCCUGUUUUUGGGAAUGUGAGAAGAUACAUGGGUUUCUGUAUUUUGAUAAAGUGUUGAGGUCGAGCUAUGUUCAUUUUUUUCUAAAUUUCCAUGUAGUUUGGUAUUAAUGGCGUCUUUUCCGCUGUUAUGGUGAUGAACUAUUUAUGUGUUUGACUGCAGUGUGCACACGUGAUGGCCCUGGCUGUUCAAAAGCUCUUCCCGGAUGCAAAAGUGACAAUUGGUCAGUGGAUAGAAAAUGGGUUCUAUUAUGAUUUUGAUAUGGAGCCUUUGACAGACAAAGAGUUGAAGAGAAUCAAGAAGGAGAUGGUAAGUGGAAUUUCUUUAUAAGUUAUCAUGUUUGUAUCAAAGUUUUGGAACCAUGAAACUAUUGAAAACUAUUCAUGAUCAUUUCUUUUGUGAUUUGUAGGAUCUCAUCAUUGGUAGAAACUUACCACUCAUAAGAGAAGAAGUUUCAAGAUAUGCUCACAAAAGAAUAACUGCGCUCAACGAAGCAUACAAAUUGGAAAUUUUGGAUAGUAUUAAAGAAGAUCCCAUUACCAUAUAUCAUAUUGGUAAGGGUUUCACUAUUUUCAGGCUCAAUAUAGUUUGGAAGGUGAUGAUUUAAUGUGCAGGAACUGUGCGUAAAUGAUAUUUUUAUUAGCUACACAAGUGAAAUGUACAGUGUUUGUGUCGAGUCUUAAGAUGGAAAUUUAAGGGAAUAAAAAAGAGAGGGCGGGGGUGUGCUCAGGGAAAACAAUGUUGUUGGUGCUCUUUAAAAAUGAGUUAUUGAUAUGCAAAUUGAAAAGGAGACUAAUUUGAAGGUGGGAGGAACCUUUUGGUCAAGCUAACCAAUUAUACUUAUGUUUAUACAUAUGCAUGCUUGUACUGGGAUUUGAUUGUGUUUUGAACUAGCAUCCUGUCAUAUUAGACUGUCUUUAUGUCAUAAUUCCUCAUAGUAUGCCGAAUUCUUCUUAUGUGAUGAAUGGUAGGAAGCAUGUGCAGGGCCCCAUGUUGAAAAAACUGGAAAUAUUAACGGAAAAGCUGUCGAACUUGAGUCUAUUGCUGGUGCUUGCUGGAGAGGAGAUGAAAAAAACCAAUGCUGCAGAGGAUCUAUGGCACUGCAUGGGAGAGUGAAGAUCAAUUGAAGGCAUAUCUUCAUUUCAAAGAGGAAGCUAAACGUCGAGAUCACAGGGGCUUUGAUCAAGUUCUUGACCUGUUUUCUAUACAGGUACUCAGAAUUGCCCUGAAUCUCUUUCUGCUGCUUACGCAGAUUUAUCAGUUAGCAAUCCCAUUAUUUGUAAUUAUGAGGAUUCUUGCAUUAACUCUGCCUGUGUAAGUUUAUCUUACAUUGCCGGUCCCAAGUCCGGGUAAAGGAGGAGGGGGAGGGCGUCAGGUAGUCGACAGCCGGCACUCCACAGUUACGUCGAAUCCUUAUGAAAAUGAAUCCAGAACGAAAUCGCGCUAAAGCUAGGGCGUCACCCGUAAGUGGCGCGCUGUGUGGCCCGAGCACAGUGAUAAGUGAGCAAGGGUCGCUGUAUCUCCAUCGGCACCCGGAUGCAGUGUUAAAUGAGCAAGGGGGCCAUAGAAACUUCUUUUCGAACGACUCCACUCAAAGUUGUUUGGGAGCAUAUACUCCUAUCAACUUUACACAGGACACACAAAAGAAGUACUUUGAUCCUAUUGGACGGGGGAGGGUGAAGAAGCUAGGACAAAAGGGUAGAGUUCAAGAGAGUAGAAUGCGUUUAGGAACGUGGAAUAUAGAAACCUUAACGGGAAAAUCUAUAGAAGUAGUGGAAGUUAUGGUGAGGAGAAGGAUAAAUAUUAUGUGCCUACAAGAAACUAAGUGGGUUGGUCUUAAGGCAAAGGAUCUAGAAAACUUAGGGUUUAAACUUUGGUAUUCGGGCACAAGUAGAACGAGAAACGGUGUUGGCAUCAUCUGUGGACAAGACCUUGACACAAGAUGUUGUAGAUGUCAAGAGGGUAGGAGAUAGAAUCAUGGCAAUCAAGAUUGUAAUAGGACAAGAACUCAUCAAUGUCAUUAGUGCGUACGCACCUCAAGUAGGGUUGGAUACGAGUUCGAAGGAGAAAUUUUGGGAAUACCUUGGAGACUUGGUGCUGGGAAUACCUUGGAGACUUGGUGCAAGGAAUUGCCCAGACGGAGAAGUUAUUUAUAGAGGAGAUUUAAAUGGACACGUGGGCAGGGAGACAGGCAACUAUAGAGGUUUUCAUGGUGGCCAUGGUUUUGGGGAGAGAAACGAGGAUGGGGAAGCUAUCUUGGAUUUUGCAAUGGCAUAUGAUCUCUUCUUAGCCAACACAUUCUUUAAGAAGAGAGAAGAACAUGUGAUCACCUACAAGAGUGGGUUGUCAAAAACACAAAUAGAUUUUCUUCUAAUGAGGAUAUGAGAUCGUAUAACUUGUAAGGAUUGCAAAGUUAUACCGGGAGAGAGCUUGGCUAAUUAACAUCGCUUGUUGGUGAUGGAUGUACAUAUCAAAAGAGUGAGAAAAAAGAACAAGACUUGGAAGUGCCCAAGGCCUAGAUGGUGGAAUCUAAAAGGAGAAAAACAAGCCAUUUUCAAAGAGAAAGUAAUCACCCAGUGUGGGUGGGAUAGAGAGGGGGAAGCUAGCUAAAUGUGGGAUUCCAUGGCUAGUUGUAUCCGAAAAGUAGCAAAAGAGGUAUUAGGAGAGUCCAAGGGCUUUGCCCCACACCAAAAGGAAUCUUGGUGGUGGAAUGAGGAGGUACAAACAAAGGUGAAGGCUAAGAAGGAAUGUUGUAAAGCCUUAUACAAGGACAGGACCGAUGAAAAUAGUGAAAGGUAUAGAAGAGCGAAGCAAGAGGCUAAGAAAGCUGUGAGAGAAGCUAAGUUAGCGGCUUAUGACGACAUGUAUAAGCGACUAGAUACCAAAGAAGGAGAGUUGGAUAUCUAUAAACUAGCUAGAGCAAGGGAAAAGAAGAUAAGGGACCUAAACCAAGUGAGGUGCAUCAAGGAUGAGGAUGGAAAGGUUCUUGCUACAGAGAAUGCGGUCAAAGACAGAUGGAGAGGUUAUUUUCAUAAUCUUUUCAAUGAAGGACAUGAAAGGAGUACUUCUUUAGGGGAGUUGAGUAAUUCAGAAGAGUGUAGAAACUACUCAUUUUAUCGUCGAAUCAGGAAGGAAAAAGUGGUUGUAGCUUUGAAGAAAAUGAAGCAUAGAAAAACAGUGGGCCCAGAUGAUAUAUCGAUCGAAGUGUGGAAAGUCUUGGGAGAGACAAGUAUAGCAUGGCUCACUGACCUUUUCAAUAGGAUUUUGAAAACGAAGAAGAUGCCAACUGAGUGGUGAAAGAGCACUUUGGUGCCUAUAUACAAGAAUAAGGGCGACGUACAAAAUUGCAUGAAUUAUAGGGGUAUUAAGCUAAUGAGCCAUACAAUGAAGCUCUGGGAGAGAGUCAUUGAGCAUAGAUUGAGGUAAGAGACACGGGUUUCGGACAACCAAUUCGGGUUCAUGCCAGGGCGCUCAACCAUGGAGGCAAUCUAUCUCUUACGAAGAUUGAUGGAAAGAUAUAGAGAUGGGAAAAAGGAUUUACACAUGGUCUUUAUAGAUUUGGAAAAAGCUUAUGAUAGGGUCCCAAGAGACAUUCUUUGGAGGAUUUUAGAGAAGGAAGAAGUACGAGCAGCAUAUAUCCAAGCUAUAAAGGAUAUGUAUGAAGGAGCAAAGACUGCCGUAAGAACUCAUGAAUGACAAACCGAAAGCUUCUCCAUAACUGUAGGAUUACAUCAAGGCUCAUCCUUAAGUCCUUACCUUUUUGCGUUGGUAAUGGAUGAGUUAACAGGACAUAUUCAAGAUGAUAUUCCUUGGUGUAUGCUUUCCGCAGAUGAUAUAGUGUUGAUAGAUGAAACUCAGGAAGGGGUAAAUGCGAAGCUUAACCUUUGGAGAGAAAUGUUGGAAUCUAAAGGUCUUCGCCUAAGCCGAUCAAAGAAAGAAUAUAUGGAGUGCAAGUUCAGUGCAAAUGGAGGCCAAAAUGAGUUAGGGGUGAGGAUCGGAGAUCAGGAAAUACCAAAGAGCGAUCGUUUUCGCUACUUAGGAUCUAUCUUGCAAAAGAACGGAGAAUUAGAUGGAGAUCUCAACCAUAGAAUACAAGCUGGAUGGAUGAAGUGGAAGAGUGCAUCCGGCGUGUUGUGUGACCGUCGUAUGCCACUGAAGCUCAAGGAAAAAUUUUAUAGGACAACAAUAAGGUCGGCGAUGCUGUAUGGCACAGAAUGUUGGGCGGUGAAGCAUCAACACGUACACAAAAUGGGUGUAGCGGAGAUGAGGAUGCUUCGUUGGAUGUGUGGGCACACGAGAAAUGAUAAGAUUAGGAAUGAGGAUAUCCGAGGUAAAGUAGGAGUAGCCGAAAUUGUACGAAAAUUGAGAGAAAAUUGGUUACAGUGGUUUGGACAUGUGCAAAGAAGGCCUACUGACGCUCCGGUUAGAAUAUGCGACUACAGGACAGAGGUUUAGGGCCGAAGGGGUAGAGGAAGACCUAGGAAAACUUUGGAAGAGACUCUAAGAAAAGACUUAGAGUAUUUGGAUCUAACGGAGGACAUGACACAGGACUGAGCACAAUGGCAUUCUAAGAUUCAUAUAGCCGACCCCACUCAGUGAAGAAGGCUUUGGUGUAUUUAACACAAUACGUUGAAAUGAAGCAAAACUUAUUUAUUGAUAUCUCCGAUAAGUUACAAAUAUGUACAUAUACAUGAGUCAAAAUAAACAAACAAGAGGGAGCCUUCACAAAGGUUGCUUAGGAGAAGUCUCAGCAGUUGGUAGAGCCCCAGAAAGAGAAGGCACCGGAGGGGUAUCAUUCGAAGCCUCAGUACUGGACAGAACCCUAGAAGGAGGAGGCAUCGAAGGUUGAUCAUUUGGAGCUUCAGUACGCGGUACAGCCCCAGAAGACGAAGGCAAUAAAUGCCUUUGGAACAAACCCACAAACCGCUGAUGAUCAAGUAAAACCUGACCAUCAGAUUCCUUCAUCUGGUCAAGCUUCCUCUUCAUGUUUGUAGCAUAGUCAUGUGCGAGCCGGUGCAACUGUUUAUUCUCAUGCUUGAGCCCUCUAAUCUCUUAUUUGAAACUCAUCACUUCAGCCGCCAAUGAUUCAACUUGGCAGGUUCGAGCAAAUAGGCGCUGGGCCAUAUUAGACACAGAACCUGCACACUGAACACUUAGAGCCAGAUAAUCCUUAACAGCCAACUCAUCAGACCGUUUGCAAAGUAAUCUGUUAUAUUUGGGAGUGAGAAAGUUCCUGGCCACCACCGCAGCAGUCAUAUCAUUCUUCAUCACGGAAUCCCCAACGGUAAGCGGACCAGUAGGGGAUAAGAAAGAUGGACGCCAUAUGUUGUCUGGAGAAGGCGUGGCUGCCUCUUCAACGAGGUUCAAGUCAAAACGACGGUCGGAGGGGCCAGAAAUUUUCAAAGGUGUUGAAGAGAGAAGUGGUCGGACAAAUCAAGAUCUUAGAAGUGCAAGAAUGGAGCUUCUACUGGUGAAGAUUCAAGUGUGCUUUGGAACUUAAUGUCAGCCUCUAUAAAAAUCUGCACUCGACGGAGCUUCAGAAAUCGAAGAGGCGCCUGCCCAGAAAUCGAAGAGGCAUUUGCUUUCUCAAAAGUUGGGCUGCUCAAAGACCACGAGGGUCGAUCUCAGAAAUCGAAGAGGCGUUUGCUUUCUCAAAAGCUGGGCUGCUCAAAGACCACGAAGGCCGAUCUCAGAAAUCGAAGAGGCACUUGCUUUCUCAAAAGCUGGGUUGCUUAGAGACCACGAAGGCCGAUCUCAGAAAUCGAAGAGGCACCUGCUUUUUUCAGCCUUGUCAGCACCUGUCACAUGCACACUCAGCUUUGCUGAAAUUACGGGCAUUCUGUUGAAUAUUUCUGGUGAAGUAGAAAGCACGUGAAUCUUAUUGUUCAAUCAUCCACUUUCCACACGCACCAUCAGCUCAUGGGUACCAUAGAUAACUUUGCCAAAGAUCUCUGACAAAGUUUAGACACGUGAAGCUUGCAGCUCCCACUACAUCGCUAUGAUCAAGAAGGGUAAAAGAAUAGCAAAGAAACAGCACUAACAAAGUUUAGAUACAUAAAUUUUGAAGGUCUAGCUACCAUAUUAUUACCUACAAGGGUAAAGGAACAGCACCGCUGCUGGAUAAUCGGAAAGUCCUUGUAUGUCAACCUAUGUGCUCUGUGGCAAGGUAGACUAGCAAACAUGCCCAAACUUUACUUACAUUCGAGAAAACACUCCCAACAAGAUUGCUUGCUCCAAAAUCGAAGAGGCACCGUCCUCUGAAUCUCGAGAGCCAGACUCCCAACAUGAUUACUUUCUCAAAAUUGAAGAGACACCGCUCUCCGAAUCUCGAGAGCUAGACUCCCAGCAGGAUUGCUCUCUCAAAAAUCGAAGAGGCACCGUUUUCCGAAUCUCGAGAGCCAGAUCUCCGACAAGAUUACUUGUACGAAAACCGAAAAGGCACCGCUUUCUCAACUUCAAGAGCCAGAUCUCCUUGGAUAAAGCUUGUCUGUAAUCUUCACACGCAACAUCAGCUUUCCAGAUACCACAGACCACUUUUUCAAAGUGCUCUGACACACGUGAAGCUAGCAACUCCCACUACCGUGCUAUGACCAAGCAGGGUAAAGGAAUAGUAUUACUACUUGUUGUUAGGGAAACUCCUAUAUAUGUCGACCUCCAUCCUCAACGGACAGGCAGACCUGCAAAAAUGCUCAACACUUCCUCAUAUCCGAGAGGGCACUCCCAACGAAGCCUCUCGAAAUACUCAGCUUUCUUUCCCCCCGAUAAUACCUCUGCAAACAAGCUACACCAGAGCAAGAAUAUCUCAUAUCAUCAGGGUUAAAAGCAAGAGUAUCCCAUAUCAUGCUUUUUCCCUGUCUUUUCCUUUGGCCUUGUUCUUACCUGCAAGACAAGGAGAAAGAGAGCAAUCAGUCAGCACUUGGAAUCAAGCUUCCAGUCAGGAACUGACUGCCUGGAACCCCUUACCUGAUUACUUACCUGGCAUUGCUCUCGAGUACCCAUCUUCAAAAUCUUAUGCUUCCAGAGAAGAUACCACAUCUGCCUGAGGAACAGAUAGGGAAAGUGAGAAGGAUACAAGGAAGCAUGUGGAGACAAACGUAACAGAACACGUGCCGAUACAUCCACUACUUUGUCAACAGCAAAAGUAUCUCAUAUCAGCAGGGUCGAACGUACUCUAGAUUUGAUGGACGUGUUUUGACCCUCAAAUUCUUCAGUCGGCCUUAUACUCUGGAAGAAACCAGAAAAUCCUCCAGCCCAGUUCAAGAAUAAGCCUGUGUAAAGUUACUUAUUCAAAAGCAAAAGUAUCUCAUAUCAUCUAUUCUCCUUUUCUUCUCUUUAUCCUUCAUGCUGCCUGCAAGAUAGGGAGAAUGAGAACAAUCAGCCGGAACUCGAAAUCAAACUUCUGAUCUGGGACUAAUUGCUUGGAGCUCUGAUUGCUUACCUUGUCUGUCACCUUUUUCAGCAUAUCCCCUAGCUCGGUGACUUGGGGGACUCCUACUACAUGGUUUGUAUCGCGCUUGACCAAGCCUGAAACUACAAGUAAGCUUCAAGUGAAUUUGAUACAUUACCUUGUGCAUCUCCACCAGUUAAAGAUACCACCCCUUGAUGGAGGAAGCGUACUUCCAGAGAAGAUGCCACAUCUACCUAUGAGACAGUUAAGGCAAGUGAAGACGAGAGCAUGCACCUAUGUGAUUUGUACUAAAUCAUUCACUUGUACUCACUAAAGGAGAGCUUGAACCUAUGUACUUGCGUAAACUCUUCACAAUUAAUGAGAACUCCUCUACUCCGUGGACGUAGCCAAUCUGGGCGAACCACGUACAUCUUGUGUUUGCUUUCUUGUCUCUAUCCAUUUACAUACUUAUCCACAUUAAUGACCAGAGCAAUCUAGCGAAGAUCACAAACUUAAUACUCUCUGUUGUACCAAAGUCCUCACUGAUUUUGUGCAUCAACAAUCCUUAAGUCUUUACAUUUUUGCGUUGGUAAUGGAUGAGUUAAUAGGACAUAUUCAAGAUGAUAUUCCUUGGUGUAUGCUUUUCGCAGAUGAUAUAGUGUUGAUAGAUGAAACUCAUACGGGGUAAAUGCGAAACUUAACUUUUGGAGAGAAGUGUUGGAAUCUAAAGGUCUUCGCCUAAGCCGAUCAAAGACAGAAUAUAUGAAGUGCAUGUUCAUUACAAAUGGAGGCCAAAAUGAGUUAUGGGUGAGGAUCGGAGAUCAGGAAAUACCAAAGAGCGACCGUUUUCGCUACCUAGGAUCUAUAUUGCAAAAGAAUGGAGAAUUAGAUGGAGAUCUCAACCAUAGAAUACAAGCUGGAUGGAUGAAGUGGAAUAGUGCUUCUGGCGUGUUGUGUAACCGUCGUAGGCCACUAAAGCUCAAGGAAAAAUUUUAUAGGACGGUAAUAAGGCCGACGAUGCUGUAUGGCACAGAAUGUUGGGCAGUGAAGCAUCAACACGUACACAAAAUGGGUUUAGACAUGUACAAAGAAGGCCUACUGACGCUCCGGUUCGAAGAUGGGACUACGAGAUAGAGGUUCAGGGCCGAAGGGGUAGAGGUAAACCUAGGAAAACUUUGGAAGAGACCCUAAGAAAAGACUUAGAGUACUUUGAUCUAACGGAGGAUAUGACACAAAAUUGCGCACAAUGGCGUUCUAGGAUUCAUAUAGCCGACCUCACUUAGUGGGAAAAGGCUUUGUUGUUGUUGUUGUAUGAGGAUUCUUGCAUUGAACAUUUUCAUUGUUGAAUUUUCACAGAAUGAUGCUGGUGGUGGUUUAGUGUUCUGGCAUCCAAAGGGUGCUAUUGUGAGGCAUGUAAUGGAAGAUUUGUGGAAAAAGAUUCACAUAGAACGUGGUUACAAUCUGCUUAUACUCCACAUGUUGCAAAGGCGAACCUUUGGCAGAUAAGUGGUCAUCUGGAUUACUACAAGGAGAAUAUGUAUGAUCAAAUGAAUGUUGAGGAUGAACUUUAUCAGCUUCGACCGAUGAACUGCCCCUAUCAUAUCUUGGUUUACAGAAAGAAGCCUUACUCAUAUCAUGAAUUUCCUAUUCAAGUUGUUGAGUUGGGAACCGUUUAUAGAUACGAAUUAUCUGGAAGCUUGCAUGGUCUUUUUCGUGUAAGAGGUUUUACUCAGGUACAGUGUUAGUAUUUGCAAACUAUUAGUCUAUAAUCCUUGGUGUAUGAAGUGUUUUUUUUUUUUUUAACCUCAGGACUUGUUGCAGGAUGAUGCCCACAUAUUUUUUCAAGAAGAUCAGAUCAAAGAUGAAAUUAAGGGUGUCCUAGAUCUUACCGAAUAACUUUUGUUGCAAUUCGGCUUCAGCAAAUAUGAGGUCAAUCUCUCUUCGAGGCCAGAGAAAGCUGUUGGAGAUGGUGAUAUAUGGGUGAAAGGCAACAUCUGCCCUUACUCCUUAGAGAUGCUUUGGAUGAUAAAGGUUGGAGCUAUCAAAUUGAUGAAGGUGGUGGUGCCUUUUAUGGUCCAAAGAUUGAUCUUAAGAUUGAGGAUGCCCUUGGAAGGAGGUGGCAGUGCUCAACUAUACAAGUUAAUCCUGAACUCAUGACGGGAUAAUUCUAAUGUACGCUUUGUUUUUUAAUUGGUAGUCUCUAUGUCUAUCUCCGUAUCACUUUGUAAAAUGUUCAUUGGAGAUUUGAGCAUCUUUUUUUAAUUGAGCGAAUUACAUGGAUUUGUUUGCUAGAGUAAAGCCACUUAUUAUUGUUAUUUUAAAUUGUUUGAUCUUUUGUACUUCCCAAAUUGUACAAGUUGAUUUUCCAUUAUGGCUUUCGCCAAUACAAGCUCAUGUUUUACCAGUUACUGACUCUCAGGUUUGUAAAGCAGUUGCACGUUUAAUGUUUCAAUUAACUCAAGGACCCUCAACACACCUGCACGACGGUUACCUGGGCUAUGACCCCUGACUCUCCUCCCAGUGAUUCGACUCCUUUGUCGACUCCGAGUCGCUCAAGGACUCCACCACCGAUUCCCCAAUCUUCCACGGCUCCACCAUAGACGACGCUUUCGAACGGCCAGGGCUUUGAUGGAGGGUUUGGCGGGUCCGACGAUCCCAUUUUGCCGGUUCCGUCUGAGAUACUGCCUGAGGAGGGCUUCGCUCUCAGAAAAUGGAGGAGGUAGGAUCUCGAAUUCUAAUUGUUUUCAAUUGAACCGAUAGUUCUGUAUAGCAAUUAAAUUUUGACUCUUUUGUGCAAUUUAGUUGAAAGUUGUUGGUUUUGAUUUGGCUUGAUCUUUCUGUUGAUGAGAAAUUAGGUGGAAAUUGUUGUUUUGAUUUCGAUAGUUUUCAAGAAUUGCAUGCUUAGUGAUCAGCAAUCGUCUGGCUUUAUCGGGUAAGGAGAUAAAGCAAUUAAAUUUCAAAAUUUGGAUUUACAGUUCGUAUUUUGAGCCUGAAUUCAUGAAAACAAACAUAACCCAUUAUUUAUUAGCGAUUAAUGAUCUGAUUAAUUUAGUUUUUAAUCAUAAUCAAUAGCAUGUAGCUUUAAUGGAAGUGGGGUUUGGGAAAUUGGCUAGCACCCAUUUUGCUUUUUGUUUGUCUGCUUUCCAUUUCUCCUCUCUCUUGCCAUCUUCUUUGUAUUUUGGCUACUUCUCUCUCCCGCACUCCCUUUUUAACUCUUGGUUCUGUGGUUCUCCGGCUGCCGUUAGGUUUUUGUGGUCGAACAACGAUGGAAUCCGAGGAUGAUGACUACUACAGCAACGACAAUGACUCCUAGAAAUUUUUAUUUUGAAUUCGGAAUUGGUUUGAUUGAAGCCCCCUAAUUGAUUGUAUUUAGGUUGGAUUUUUAUGCAUCAGGAAUUUCAAUUGAAGCCUCCUAAUUGGAUAAUGUUUUUCCCAUGUUAGGCUUCUCUGAUUGAGGUGAUACAGAUACCAAAUUGGAGCGGUGCUGUUAGUGGAGGAAUCUGGUAGAAACGAUGAGUUUGUAGAUUGAAUUUGUAUAUGAUGAUAAUAAAAAAUGAUAUGUUGUUUUCGUAAUUCUUUUUGCUUUCAAAGUUUAUUGCUUGGUUGUGUUCGUAACCUCUGGGUUCUUACGGUUCUUUGUCUCUCUUACUUCAGAUUCUUUGUGUUUUUUAUCAUUCGUUUGUGAAGAAAUGGGUCGUACGUAGUGGUAAGGCUCUGAGGAAGGCACUUGCCACCAAGGUGCGUUUCGUUUGGGUUUCUGAUGUCUAGAAAAUUAGAAUUGAUAAUUGCAAGCAAUUUUUUCCGAGAAACAAUCAGAUUAUUGAAUCUAAGUUGCUAAUUGUUUUAAUUUUGUAUAUGCUGCAAUUAAAUCAGCACCCGCAACUGAAGGUGUCAAGAAGCCUGACUGCUACCGCCUUGGAAUCGUCAUUUUUCGGUAAGUUUUCAACACAAUAUAGUUCAAAUCCUCUGAAUCAUGUUCUUGAAUUUUACUAUAUGUAUCGUGUUCUUUGCAUUUCGUUAUCUGAAAUUUGUUCUUUGAAUUUGGUUACCAGAAUCGUGCCUAAUGUUUGAUGUGGCCAGUGGCUUUGUAUGGUUGGCUGGUGUGAUUUGGGAGUGUUUUUAGUUAAUGGCAGACAUAGGACAAAGGUGUGGGGCAGCGAAGUCAAGUGGGAUUAGGAAUUUAGGAUAGUAGACUGUUUGCUAAUUUAUGGGAUUAGAAGUCUUCCUUUAUUUUUUCUCUUCAUGUAACAACAACAACAACAACAAAGCCUUUUCCCACUAAGUGGGGUCGGCUAUAUGAAUCCUAGAACGCCAUUACGCUCGGUUUUGCACAUGUCCAAACCCAUUUUGUGUACGUGUUGAUGCUUCACCACCCAACAUUCUGUGCCAUACAUCAUCGCCGGCCUUAUUGCCGUCCUAUAAAAUUUUCCCUUGAACUUCAGUGGCCUACGACGGUCACACAACACGCCGGAUGCACUCUUCCACUUCAUCCAUCCAGCUUGUCUUCUAUGGUUGAGAUCUCCAUCUAAUUCUCCGUUCUUUUGCAAGAUAGAUCCUAGGUAGCGAAAACGGUCGCUCUUUGGUAUUACAUGAUUUUCGAUCCUCGCCCCUAACUCAUUUUGGCCUCCAUUUGCACUGAGCUUGCACUCCAUAUAUUCUAUCUUUGAUCGACUUAGGCGAAGACCUUUAGAUUCCAACACUUGUCUCCAAAGGUUAAGCUUCGCAUUGACCCCUCAUGAGUUUCAUCUAUCAACACUAUAUCAUUUGCGAGAAGCAUACACCAAGGAAUAUCAUCUUGAAUAUGUCCGGUUAACUCAUCCAUUACCAACGUAAAAGGGUAAGGACUUAAGGAUUGUUGAUGCACAAAAUCAGUGAGGACUUUGGUACAACAGAAAGUAUUAAGUUAUUGCUCUGGUCAUUAGUGUGGAUAAGUAUGUAAAAGGAUAGAGAUAGGAAAGCAAACAUAAAAUGUACGUAGUUCACCCAGAAAGUAACUUUCCACAGGCUUAUUCUUGAACUGGGCUGGAGGGAUUUCUGGUUUCCUCCAGAGUAUAAGGCCGAUUGAAGAAUUUGAGGGUCAAAACAAGUCCAUCAAAUCUAGAGUACGUUCGACCCUGCUGAUAUGAGAUACUUUUGCUGUUGACAAAGUAGUGGAUGUAUCGGCACGCGUUCUGUUACGCUUGUCUCCAUAUGCUUCCUUGUAUCCUUCUCACUGUCCUUAUCGGUUCCUCAGGCAGAUGUGGUAUCUUCUCUGGAAGCAUAAGAUGUUGAAGAUGAGUACUCGAGAGCAGUGCCAGGUAAGUAAUCAGGUAAGGGUUCCAGGCAGUCAGUUCCUGACUGGAAGCUUGAUUCCAAGUGCUGACUGAUUGCUCUCUUUCUCCUUGUCUUUUGCAGGUAAGAACAAGGCCAAAGGAAAAGACAGGGAAAAAACAUGAUAUGGGAUACUCUUGCUUUUAACCCUGAUGAUAUGAGAUAUUCUUGCUUUGGUGUAGCUUGUUUGCAGAGGUAUUAUCGGAGGGAAAGAAAGCUGAGUAUUUCGAGAGACUUCUUUGGGAGUGCCCUCUCAGAUAUGAGGAAGGGUUGAGCAUUUUUGCAGGUCUGCCUGUCCGUUGAAGAUGAAGGUCGACAUAUAUAGGAGUCUCCCUAACAACAAGUAGUAAUGCUAUUCCUUUACCUUGCUUGGUCAUAGCACGGUAGUGGGAGCUGCCAGCUUCAUGUGUGUCAGAGCACUUUGAAAAAGUGGUAUGUGGUAUCUGGAAAGCUGAUGUUGCGUGUGAAGAUUAGACACAAGCUUUAUCCAAGGAGAUCUGGCUCUCGAAGUUGAGAAAGCGGUGCCUCUUCGGUUUUCAAACAAGCAAUCCUGCGGGGAUCUGGCUCUCAAUAUUCGGAGAACGGUGCCUCUUCGAUUUUUGAGAGAGCAAUCCUGCUGGGAGUCUGGCUCUCGAGAUUCGGAGAGCGAUGUCUCUUCGAUUUUGAGAAAUUAAUCAUGUUGGGAGUCUGGCUCUCAAGAUUCGGAGAACAGUGCCUCUUCAAUUUUAGAGCAAGCAAUCUUGUUGGGAGUGUUUUCUCGAAUGUGAGUAAAGGCAGGGCAUGUUUGCUAGUCUACCUUGCCACGGAGCACAGAGGUUGACACACAGGGACUUUCUAAUUAUCCAGCAGUGGUGCUGUUCCUUUACCCUUGUGGAUAAUAAUAUGAUAGCUAGACAUUCAAAAUUUAUGUGUCUAAACUUUGUUAGUGCUGUUUCUUUGCUAUUCUUUUACCCUUCUUGAUCAUAGCGAUGUAGUGGGAGCUGCAAGCUUCACGUGUUUAAACUUUGUCAAAGAUCUUUGACAAAGUUAUCUGUGGUACCCCUGAGCUGAUGGUGCGUGUGAAAAGUGGAUGAUUGAAUAGUAAGAUUCAUGUGCUUUUUACUUCACCAGAAAUCUUCAACAGAAUGCCCGUAAUUUCAGCAAAGCUGAGUGUGCAUGUGACAGGUGCUGACAAGGCUGAAAAAAGUAGGUGCCUCUUCGAUUUCUAAGAUCGACCCUCGUGGUCUCUAAGCAACCUAGCUUUUGAGAAAGCAAGCCUCUUCGAUUUCUAAGAUCGGUCUUCGCGGUCUUUUAGCAGCUCAGCUUUUAAGAAAGCAAACGCCUCUUCGAUUUCUGAGAUCGGCCCUCAUGGUCUCUGAGCAGCCUAGCUUUUGAGAAAGCAAACGCCUCUUCGAUUUCUGGGCAGACGCCUCUUCGAUUUUUUAAGCUCCGUCGAGUGCAGAUUUUUAUAGCGGCUGGCAUUAAGUUUCAAAGCACACUUGAAUCUUCACCAGGAGAAGCUCCCUUCUUGCACUUCUAAAAUCUUGAUUUGUCCGACCUCUUCUCUCUUCAACACCUUUGAAAAUGUCUGGCCCAUCCGACCGUCGUUUUGACUUGAACCUUGUUGAAGAGGCAGCCACGCCUUCUCUAGACAACAUAUGGCGCCCAUCCUUCUUAUCCCCUACUGGUCAUCUUACCGUUGGGGAUUCCGUGAUGAAGAAUGAUAUGACCGCUACGGUGGUGACCAUGAACCUUCUCACUCCCAAAGAUAACAGACUAUUUUCCAAACGGUCUAAUGAAUUGGCUGUUAAGGAUUCUCUGGCUCUGAGUAUUCAGUGUGCAGGUUCUGUGUCUAAUAUGGCCCAACGCCUAUUUGCUCUAACCCGCCAAGUUGAAUCAUUGGCAGCUGAAAUGAUGAGUCUCAAACAAGAAAUUAGAGGGCUCAAGCAUGAGAAUAAACAGUUGCACCGGCUCGCACAUAACUAUGCUAUAAACAUGAAGUGGAAGCUUAACCAGAUGAAGGAAUCUGAUGGUCAGGUUUUACUUGAUCAUCAGCGGUUUGUGGGUUUGUUCCAAAGGCAUUUAUUGCCUUCGUCUUCUGGGGCUGUACCGCAUAAUGAAGCUCCAAAUGAUCAACCUCCGAUGCCUCCUCCUUCUAGGGUUCUGUCCAAUACUGAGGCUCCUAAUGAUCCCCCUCCGAUGCCUUCUCUUUCUAGAGCUCUACCAACUGCUGAGACUUCUCCUAAGCAACCUUUAUGAAGGCUCCCUCUUGUUUGUUUAUUUUGACUCAUGUAUAUGUACAUAUUUGUAACUUAUCGGAGAUAUCAAUAACUAAGCUUUGCUUCAUUUCCAACGUAUUGUGUUAAAUACACCAAAGCCUUCUUCAUUGAGUGGAGUCCGCUAUAUGAAUCUUAGAACGCCAUUGUGCUCGGUCCUGUGUCAUGUCCUCCGUUAGAUCCAAAUACUCUAAGUCUUUUCUUAGAGACUCUUCCAAAGUUUUCCUAGGUCUUCCUCUACCCCUUCGGCCCUGAACCUCUGUCCCGUAGUAACAUCUUCUAACCGGAGCGUCAGUAGGCCUUUUUUGCACAUGUCCAAACCACCGUAACCGAUUUUCUCUCAACUUUCCUACAAUUUCGGCUACUCCUACUUUACCUCGGAUAUCCUCAUUCCUAAUCUUAUCCUUUCUCGUGUGCCCACACAUCCAACGAAGCAUCCUCAUCUCCGCUACACCCAUUUUGUGUACGUGUUAAUGCUUCACCGCCCAACAUUCUGUGCCAUACAGCAUCGCCGACCUUAUUGUCGUCCUAUAAAAUUUUCCCUUGAGCUUCAGUGGCAUACGGCGGUCACACAACACGCCGGAUGCACUCUUCCACUUCAUCCAUCUAGCUUGUAUUCUAUGGUUGAGAUCUCCAUCUAAUUCUCCGUUCUUUUGCAAGAUAGAUUCUAAGUAGCGAAAACGAUCGCUCUUUGGUAUUUCCUGAUCUCCGAUCCUCACCCCUAACUCAUUUUGGCCUCCAUUUGCACUAAACUUGCACUUCAUAUAUUCUGUCUUUGAUCGGCUUAGGCGAAGACCUUUAGAUUCCAACAGUUGUCUCCAAAGGUUAAGCUUCGCAUUUACCCCUUCCUGAGUUUCAUCUAUCAAUACUAUAUCGUCUGCGAAAAGCAUACACCAAGGAAUAUCAUCUUGAAUAUGUCAUGUUAACUCAUCCAUUACCAACGCAAAAAGGUAAGGACUUAAGGAUGAGCCUUGAUGUAAUCCUACAAUUAUGGAGAAGCUUUCGGUUUGUCAUUCAUGAGUUCUUACGGCAGUCUUUGCUCCUUCAUACAUAUCCUUUAUAGCUUGGAUAUAUGCUACUCGUACUCCUUCAUUCUCUAAAAUCCUCAAAAGAAUGUCUCUUGGGACCCUAUCAUAAGCUUUUUCCAAAUCUAUAAAGACCAUGUGUAAAUCCUUUUUCCCAUCUCUAUAUCUUUCCAUCAAUCUUCGUAAGAGAUAGAUUGCCUCCAUGGUUGAGCGCCCUGGCAUGAACCCGAAUUGGUUGUCCGAAACCCGUGUCACUUACCUCAAUCUAUGCUCAAUGACUCUCUCCCAAAGCUUCAUUGUAUGACUCAUUAGCUUAAUACCCCUAUAGUUCAUGCAAUUUUGUACGUUGCCCUUAUUCUUGUAGAUAGGCACCAAAGUGCUCUUUCGCCACUCAUUUGGCAUCUUCUUCGUUUUCAAAAUCCUAUUGAAAAGGUCAGUGAGCCAUGCUAUACCUGUCUCUCCCAAGACUUUCCACACUUCGAUCGGUAUAUUGUCUAGGCCCACUGCUUUAUAAUGCUUCAUCUUCUUCAAAGCUACAACCACUUCUUCUUUCCUGAUUCGACGAUAAAAUGAGUAGUUUCUACACUCUUCUGAGUUACUCAACUCCCCUAAAGAAGUACUCCUUUCAUGUCCUUCAUUAAAAAGAUUAUGAAAAUAACCUCUCCAUCUGUCUUUGACCGCGUUCUCUGUAGCAAGAACCUUUCCAUCCUCAUCCUUGAUGCACCUCACUUGGUUUAGGUCCCUUGUCUUCUUUUCCCUUGCUCUAGCUAGUUUAUAGAUAUCUAACUCUCCUUCUUUGGUAUCUAGUCGCUUAUACAUAUCGUCAUAAGCCGCUAACUUAGCUUCUCUCACAACUUUCUUCGCCUCUUGCUUCGCUCUUCUAUACCUUUCACCAUUUUCAUCGGUCAUGUCCUUGUAUAAGGCUUUACAACAUUCCUUCUUAGCCUUCACCUUUGUUUGUACCUCCUCAUUCCACCACCAAGAUUCCUUUUGGUAUGGAGCAAAGCCCUUAGACUCUCCUAAUACCUCUUUUGCUACUUUUCGGAUACAACUAGCCAUGGAAUCCCACCUUUGGCUAGCUUCCCCCUCUCUAUCCCACCCAUACUGGGUGAUUACUUUCUCUUUGAAAAUGACUUGUUUUUCUCCUUUUAGAUUCCACCAUCUAGUCCUUGGGCACUUCCAAGUCUUGUUCUUUUUUUCUCACUCUUUUGAUAUGUACAUCCAUCACCAACAAGCGAUGUUAAUUAGCCAAGCUCUCUCCCGGUAUAACUUUGCAAUCCUUACAAGUUAUACGAUCCCCUUUCCUCAUUAGAAGAAAAUCUAUUUGUGUUUUUGACGACCCACUCUUGUAAGUGAUCACAUGUUCUUCUCUCUUCUUAAAGAAGGUGUUGGCUAAGAAGAGAUCAUAUGCCAUUGCAAAAUCCAAGAUAGCUUCCCCAUCCUCGUUUCUCUCCCCAAAACCAUGGCCACCAUGAAAACCUCCAUAGUUGCCUGUCUCCCUGCCCACGUGUCCAUUUAAAUCUCCUUCUAUAAAUAACUUCUCCGUCUGGGCAAUUCCUUGCACCAAGUCUCCAAGGUCUUCCCAAAAUUUCUCCUUCGAACUCGUAUCAAACCCUACUUGAGGUGCAUACGCACUAAUCACAUUGAUGAGUUCUUGUCCUAUUACAAUCUUGAUUGCCAUGAUUCUAUCUCCUACCCUCUUGACAUUUACAACAUCUUGUGUCAAGGUCUUGUCCACGAUGAUGCCAACACCGUUUCUCGUUCUAUUUGUGCCCGAAUACCAAAGUUUAAACCCUGAGUUUUCUAGAUCCUUUGCCUUAAGACCAACCCACUUAGUUUCUUGUAGGAACAUAAUAUUUAUCCUUCUCUUCACCAUAACUUCCACUACUUCCUUAGAUUUUCCGGUUAAGGUUCCUAUAUUCCACGUUCCUAAAUGCAUUCUGCUAUCUUGAACUCUACCUUUCUGUCCUAGCUUCUUCACCCUCCCCCGUCCAAUAGAAUCAAAGUACUUCUUUUGUGUGUCCUGUGUAAAGUUGAUAGGAGCAUAUGCUCCCAAACAACUUUGAGUGGAGUCGUUCGAAAAGAAGUUUAUAUGGCCCCCUUGCUCAUUUAACACUGCAUCUAGGUGCUGAUGGAGAUACGGCAACCCUUGCUCACUUAUCACUAUGCUCGGGCCACACAACGCGCCAUUUACGGGUGACGCCCUAGCUUUAGCGCGAUUUCGUGCGAUGAAAAAAAAAAGGUGAGUAAUUUUAACUCUAGUUUGAGGUAAUAACAUGUGAAUUUUUCGUAUUACUGGUUUUUCCCUUUCUAUUAAAAACAACCUUUGAUUUCUUUGAUAGUGCGUUUUUCUAUCUGUGCUAUUGUUGAACUCCCCCAGUUAUCAGUUUUGACUCAAAAAAAAUAUUCGAUGAUAACAUGCAUUGAAUAUUGGCUAAAAUUAUAUUGAAAUUUGCUGGCCGAAGCAGAUAUCGUUAAAAGAGCUCUAAGUCACCCUCUGAAAUUAAUUGCCAAAAGUGAUGUUGUAAAUGGAAGAGUUGUUAGUGAGAAGGCAUUUUUUUUCGUUUCACUUUAUAGACUAUGCUCACUAUCUGUUUAAUAUGUUUCAUCGUAUUAAUUAAAGUCUCAUUUCUCAGGUGCUUUCAAGUGACAACCCCAACUAUGGAUGCAUGCUGCCACUGGAAACUAUGAAAAUUUCAUGGUUGCUGGGAUCACUGAUCCAACUAAAGUGGGUUUCUUUAUCAAGUACUUCAUGAAUAGAAUAUUUUGGAGAUCCUAUCGCUGGGACAGAUUGAAGAAGAUGAAGAUCACAAGGGUGGGAUACUGGGGAGGGUGGUAGGGUUAUGAGGAGUGGGCUCUGGUUGGUUUCGAUUUGACCAAUGUCAUGGUUCGAUGGAAUCGAGGUGAUGGGGAUGAUUCAUGAGGUCACAACCACAAGAUGUAGGGCCUACGCGUGGGGUUUAGGGGUUUCACAUAGAGGCUUACAGAGGGAGGGGGUGCACACGUGAAUUGCAGAGGGAGAGGGAGAAAGAGGGGGAGUAGGGUUGCUAUAUUCAAGUUCUCUUUUUUAUUUUUACUUGAAUUUGAUUUGAUUCUUUUUUUUUUUUGCGACAGGUUGAGAAUGCGAAAGCUCAGCUGGAGGUGGAGGUGAGAAUUUUAAUUUAAUUCAUGGUAUAUCUUUUUUUUUUUGUGGGAUUGUGCUGUUUUUGGGAAAACAAUAUUAAAUUGAAGUUUAGAUAUUUCUGUAAUUGGGAUUUAGAGUAAGAGAUGAAGAACUAUAUGUGAUUGCAAAUUUAAAAGUUUAGAACUUUUUUGGUUUGGAAGCUAAUUUUAAAUUCAGCUAGCUGAUUAAUUAAUAGAGAAAUUAUAACGAAUGUGUGAUACGUUUUUCAAUGCGUAUGAGCAGACAUGGGUACUGCUUCAGCGGCAGCAGCUGCUAUAUGAUGGUAGAUGAGGAAUUCUGAGAUGCUGAGUGCUCUUAGUGUCAGAGAUGAAGACUUGAUAAUGAUCGUUCCAAUUCUGCCUCAAGGUAUACUUGAUAAUGUUGUCCUUUAUGUGCAAUUCACUGUAUGAUGCUCGUUCCUUUAAUGAGCCUGUCAAUAUAUUUCAAUGCACCCACCAAUUGGUUUUAUCAUCAUACAUCAUUCGUGAGAAAUGGGAUGGUGAGUUUCUCAAUACAGUUUUAAUUUUUGUGCGAAUAAUGUUUGUAAAAAGUCUGUUUUUAUUUAGUUCAUUGCAGAUUCUUAUUCUUUUAUUUAGUUCACGAUUCAUGCUUUUAAAGAUAAGAAGUGCAAGGCUCUCUCGGAUGUUAGUUUUGGGUGGCAAUUGAAAGAUACGAGGACAAACAAAAAUACCUACCAAUUGAAAGGAUAAAUUCAAUUGAAAAUAUUUGGUUCAUCAAUUAUUAUAGUUUGAGCUUUCUGCAUUAAAUGUCCAGUUUUCGGGAAGAGUGAUUCAUGUAAUUGGGUUUUAUUAAAAUUUUCAUGAUUUUAUACAGUUUUUCGUUUAAAUUUGUGGAUUCAUAAACACUUUUAUGAGUGUUAAUUUCUGUUCGUAUGUCUAAAAUUUGUUUGGAAUUUGGCUGUUUCUUCAAUUUCAUCACCACCUAUUCUCACAACUUCAUUUAAAGUGUUUUGCAUGUAUAAGAUUCAUAUUCAUGGAGGUCAUUUCAAACGGAUUUCAAGCUGAGCUGCAGAAAUUUGAUUCAAAUUGGUGGAUUUGGGUAAGAAACUAAGAAACCAUUAUCUUUUGUUUCGGUUUUAAGAACUGAAUUUAAUGGUUAAGUUUAUGUUUCAAGAUUAUCUUCCUUUCUCCUAAAUACUGAGUUUUAUGAGAUUACAUUUGGCAAGUCUGAAAACGGAUUAGAAAUACAGAGUUUUAUGAGAUCUAUUUGGCAAGAUUAUCUUCCUUUGUCCUAAAUACUGAGUUUUAUGAGAUCUAUUUGGCAAGUCUGAAAGUGGAUUGCGUAUGUUUAUAUCUCCCUUUCUUCUAAAUACUGAGUUUUAUGAGAUCACACCAUCUUAUGUUUAUUGUAUAAUCUUAUGCAGUCAGAAGAAUUAUCAUCUUUUUCCUUUUAGAUUUCAACAUAUUUGGAAAUACUUCAAAUUUUUUGUAGUGUAGUUUGUACUUGUAGUUUACAUGAUUACGUAAGUUCUAUUUCUUUAGUAAAUUUUUAUGCAGGAAAGAAAGUCAUUUCUCAGUUUAUAGUUAACAUGAUUACAUAAGUUAUGCUUAUCUUAUCAACCUCAUUCACUCGUAUGUUGCUCUGUUCAUUCAUGAUUGUGUUAAAUUUAUUCAGGUUAAAAGUGUCUUAUUCAUGCAGUUACGCAUGAAACAGUUGUUCCCGCGGCAACACGUGGGCUUAUUUUCUAGUUCCAAUGUAAACCUAGAGACGAAACGAGGUCAUAUAUUACAAAGACAUAUUCUAAAACAGCCUUAGCUCAGAGAAUAAAAAAAGGAAAACUAAUGAAAAUGGCUUGAAAACUUUGAGUUUUAACGAUAUGGACAAAAUAAAGGGUAAAGUGAACAGUAUCAGGUUUGACUUUUUAGUGUAAAAAUGUGAUUUUUCGUUAAAGUAAACAGUACAGCAGACUUUUCGUUAAAACUCCCAAUAAAAAAAACCAUGCAGUGAAAACAUCUAAGGGAAACGAGUUGAUCCUCAAUAAACGCCUCAAUAGAAUGACAUCUUUGUUAAAGCAUCUGUUAUAAAAUUAGCUUCAUCUAAAACAUGAUAGAAGCUGAUAUGAUCAAGCAUACCAUGUUUGCCAACAUAAAAGAAGGAUCUUUCCAAGUUUAGGAAGGUGGGAGUUGCCAAAGAGAAACCGAUUUGAGCCGCAUUUUCUUCAAAUAUCUCAGGCAAACGGUCGGCUGACAAAAUGCAGUCAAUGGCUUCAACAUCUUGAGAAUAAAAGGCACAACUAGGAUCAAUUGGUUGUACUUCAUAUAGGGAUAAGACUUGAGUCUCGUCUUUCACAUAUGUUUACUUGUUCAUUCCGGCCAUUAUAUGGUACAACACUGAACAUAGAGUACAACUUUUCCGGCCUCUAAGUCCGGAACCCUCCCAAACAUUGGACACUACAAUACCAAAAUAAAGCAAUAAAAUACAACAGUACAAUACAAUAUAGUUAAAAGCAAUCCAUCUUAGUACAGACUCAAUCGGAUGAAUCAACGGAGCCCUAGUGUUCAAGCUUCCAUCCUUGCGGUAAACUUAAGUGGUGGCUUCAAGAAAUGGAUAAUCAGUGUAACCAAUGACGGGAUCAGUGUGUAAAAUGUCUCUCUGUUGUACUUGUUUAGAGGAGCAUUAAGUUCAAAUCUCUUUGGCAAAUCCGGAUUCGCCAAGAAAAUACGGCCAUAAGCAAUAAGAUCUGCACGGCCCUCGCCCACAGCUCUGUUUCCAUCUUCCCUGUGAUAACUGUAAAUCAUUGUGUAUGUUGAUGAAGAAAGAAUAUGCAGGAAGAAAGACAGAGAGAAAUGUAGAAGAAUAAGAGAGUAAGAGAGUUUAGAGAGUAGAGAGAGAAUCAAGAAUUGUAUUUUCUUUCUAGUUAGUUACAACUGACUAUUACAACAUGUAUUUAUUUGUAUUGGUAGCUUACACUCUAAGCCACACAAUAACCACCUUAACUAACUCUUAUAUCACAGCUAUAGAAUCUUAGUACACCUAUCAUCCCCCCUCAAGCUCAGGGGCAGAGAAAUUGAGCCUGAGAUUGGCACAAUGAGUCUGAAAGAGUGGUGUAGAAAGACCCUUGGUGAGGAUAUCUGCAAACUGCUCAGUAGACGAUACAAACUGAACAUGUAGUUGCUGUUUUGCAACCCUUUCUCGAACAAAAUGGACAUCAACCUCAAUAUGUUUCGUACGUUGAUGUUGAAUUGGAUUGCAAGUCAGUGCAAUUGCAGACAGGUUGUCACAGAAAAGUAAUGGGGGCUCGGCCAAAGGAAUCUGCAAGAACGACAACAGAGAUUUAAUCCAAUCCAAUUCAGCCGCUGUAGUAGAGAGAGCUCGAUAUUCAGCCUCAGUUGAUGAGCGAGAGACAGUGUGUUGUUUCUUAUACAUCCAUGAAAUGGGAUUAGACCCCAAGAACACCACCAUUCCAGUUGUGGACCGUCUAUCGUUCGGAUCACCCGCCCAGUCUGCAUCACUAUAGGCAGUAAGAUCAAGGGAACCUCGAAUAUACUGAAUACCACAGCCUCGAGUAGCCUUUAAGUACCUAAGAAUCCGUUUGACAGCCAUAAAGUGGGAGUCCAUUGGUCGCUGCAUAAACUGGCAGACCUGAUGCACUGCGAAAACAAUGUCAGGCCGCGUAAAAGUCAAGUACUGGAGAGCACCAACCAAGCUCCUGUACAUUGUAGGAUUAUUAUAAGGCUUGCCAUCAUUGCUGAGAAGACGGUUGUAAGGCAAACAUGGAGUAUCACACGGUUUGGACAAUAGCAUAUCAGAUUUAGUAAGCAGAUCCGUAACAUACUUGUCUUGAGAGAGAAACAAACCAUUCUUGUUCUGUACAAUUUGAAUGCCUAGAAAAUAAUGAAGAGGUCCCAAGUCUUUCAUAUCAAACUCAUGAGUAAGAGCUUGAAUAACCUCAGUGAUAGCUUGUGGAUGGCUGCCUGUGAUGAUAAUAUCAUCAACAUACAACAACAGAAUCACCACAUAUGUGUCAACAGUUUUUACAAAUAAAGAUGAAUCUGCAAAUGUAGACUUGAACCCUAAGGAAGGUAGAAAAGUAGUGAACCUUUCAUUCCACCUGUGGUGCCUGUUUCAACCCAUAAAGCGAUUUAUGUAAUCGACAAACAUAAUCUUCAUGUUUAAGAUCAACAAACCCAGGUGGCUGUGUCAUGUAGACCUCUUUCUUGUAAAUAUGCCAUGGAGGAAGGCAUUUUUCACAUCUAAUUGUCUCAAUGUCCAACCAAAGUUUGCUGAUAAAGCUAGAACGAUUCUCACUGUUGUAGGUUUAACAACAGGGCUAAAAGUCUCUCCAUAAUCGAUUCCUUCUUCUUGAUUAAAGCCUUUUGCCACCAGCCGUGCCUUAUACCUCCCAAUUGAGCCAUCAGCAUUCUUUUUUAUCUUAUAUACCCAUUUACACCCGAUUAAAUUCUUGUGACGGGGCAAUGGAACCAAUGACCAUGUUCCCUGAUUAUGCAAAGCCAAUAUCUCAUCUUGCAUAGCAUUAAACCAAACUGGGGAUUUCAACGCAGACUUAUAUGUUGCAGGUUCCACUUAUGUCAAAUCAACCCCCCCAUGUUCAUGAACCUGAGCAAGUAAAGCAAGCUUCUUAAUAAUACCACUUUUGGAUCGUGUCUGCAUAGGAUGGAAGUUCACUGGGGGAACAGAGAGAACCACUUGGAGCUGCUCAGGUUGGAAUUCAGGUACCACAGGAGGUGCAGGGGAGAAGGGUUGUGUAGUUGGAGAAGUAAUGGAAUGAGUAGCAGUUGAAUUUCCUGCACUGUCAGGUGAACCUGUAAUUGGAACCGUAGUGGAGGCUGCUGAAAGUUGCUGGAGUACCAGAUUUGGCAUGCCACUAGAGAUAGAAUCUGAGCUUAAUGAUGCAGGACACUCAGUGUAGGGAUUAAGUGACUCGUGUAACACAAGUACAUUACUAUGAUUAGGAACUGGAAUUGGUGUUUGAGAAUGUGAUGGAGGUGGUGAAAUAGUGGUACAGUGAGAUUUAGAGACCAAAGAACGAUAAGGAAACUCUGUCUCAUCAAAUAAAACAUGUCUAGAAAUAUACAUUUUGUUUUUAGAAGCAUCAUAACAAAGAUAGCCUUUAUAGUUAGAUGCAUAUCCCAAAAAGAUACAUUUUGCAGUGCGGGGAUCUAACUUGGUAUGAGUAUAAGGCCUUAACCAAGGAUAACAAGAACAGCCAAAUAUUUUCAAAUGUGUUAUUACUGGUAUGGAAUUGUGCAGCAAUUGAAACGGAGAUAAAUUUCCCAAGGAAGAAGAUGGCAUUCUAUUAAUGAGGUACACUGAGGUUUUGCAGGCAAAAGACCAAAACACUGAGGGUAAGGAAGCAGACUGUAGCAAAGCAAUGGAAAUUUCAAUAAUAUGCCUGUGUUUUUGUUUAGCUAUUCCAUUCUGUUCGGGUGUGUAAGGACAGGAAAGUUGGUGCUUAAUUCUUUUAUCAGACAAAAAUUGUUGAAAUGCUUUGUUUAUGUAUUCACCACCACCAUCACUGUGAAGAGUUUUAAUGGCUACUUGAAACUGAUUUAAGAUGAAAUUGUAUAAAGAAACAAAUAUACCCGAAACAUCACUUUUAUUGCACAUGGGAAAAAUCCAGCAAUAUUUUGUACAAUGGUCAAUGAAAGUGACAUAAUAUCUAAAUCCAUCUAGAGACACACAAGGAGCAGGACCCCACACAUCACUGUGAACAAGAUCAAAAGGUUUUACAGAUUUAUCUACGGAGGAAGGAAAUGGGAGUUUACUGAAUUUGCCCUCUAAACAUGGGUGACACAGUGAAGGUGUUUGAUCAGCAACACAAAGAACAUGUGAGGAUUCUAAAAUGCGGGAAACAAUUGAAUUAGAGGGAUGACCUAAUCUCUUAUGCCAAAUACUGGUAGUAACUUGUUGUCCCAGAAAAGCUGCAAGGUUCCUUUUGUGGAUGACUGCAGGAGAACUUGGUGAGAUGAUCGGAUACAAACCAUUGUUACACAGCCCUUUGUAAAGCACCCUCCCUGUGGCUUUGUCGUGAGAGAUAGCUAAACCUUCACCAUUUGCAGUCUGAAUAGUCUCAUUAGACGGAUAUGGAGUGGACAAGGAAAGAUUUCCCAAGUCUGAAGUCAUAUGAUUAUUUGCACCUGAAUCAGUAAGCGAAAUUUGCUGCUGUGGAGGAGGAGAUGGCACUGAGAAAGAAGGAUUAGGACCAUUGAGUGUUGCAGCAUGCAUAGCACUCAUUUGAGGAUUGGCAUUCUUUUGAAAACAUGUUUCUGCAGUAUGAUUGGAGUUCCCACAAAUAAAGCAGCCUGAGGGACCACUUGUAUUUCGAAAUCUACAGGUAUCAGCCAUAUGGUUGUGCUUCCCACAAAUUUGGCAACCUUGUGAAACAUUCAUGUUUCGAAAACGACAUGUAGAAGCCAAAUGAUUUGACUUCCCACAUAUUUGACAAAGUUAAGGCUGAAACCCAUAAAUCUGUGUUCUUGGCGGAGAAGCACCAAGAAUGCCAGGUGCAGGAUUUGAAGAGAAGUUCUUUUUAUUACCAUAUCUCGGAUUGAAUUAGAACCAAAACGAUUUCUGCCUUUACCAUUGUGAUUAAAAGACCUGUAUGCAUUUGUAUUGGAACUAGGAUAAUUUCCACCAGAACCUGAAAAAGACUGAUUCUUGGACACCAAGUCAUUGUUCUGUGCCAUUAGUGCAGACAAAACAGGUGAUGCAGAAAUGGUUUCAAUCAAUGCUUCUUCAGCCAACAAUUGAGAACGAAGAUCUUUCAACGAUAUCACAGUUUCACGACCCCGAAUCACAGAUCUUAUAGUAUUAAAUUCAGCAGGCAGACCAUUCAAUGUAAGAAUCACCAUAUCAUCAUCAUCAAAGAAAACACCAGCAGCAAAUAGUAAAUCCCGUGCUUCUUUAAUCUUCUGCAAAUACACAGUGAUAGAAUCAUUACCCUUCUUUAUAUUUUGCAGUUCAGAUUUGAGUUGAAAGAUACUGGUUCUUGUGAUAGUUGAGAACUGUUCUUUAAGCCUAGUCCACAAUUCUUUGGAACUGGUACUACCAAUCGCACAAGAAAUCCCAGCAGGGGACAAGGUUGCAGUGAUCAACUGCAUUAAUGCUUUAUCAUGCAUCUUCCAUACUCUGUAAUCAUCCGAUUGAACUUGGGUAGUAGAACCCCCAGAUAAUUCUUGGCAAAAUUGGUCAGGACAAGGAAUCGAGCCAUCAACAAACCCAAUUAUACUAUGGCCUUCAAGCAGGAGCUCCAUCUGAAAAUGCCAAGCCAAAUAAUUUGUUUCAUCCAACUUCACAUUAACUGAACUUGAAACCGACGAGAUCAAAGAAGCAAUCGGAGACUGAAGAAUAUGUAACUGAGUAGCAGUCACCAUUGUUACCAAUUAGGAGAAAAAUCCCAAGAAAUCUUGACAGAGGAAUAACCACAAACACUUGGUGGGUGUACUUUGAUCGAGAACGAAUCAAAGGAAGAAGAAGACUAAACCAGCCCAAAUUUUAACACAAGAAAUCACAGCAAGGAGAAGUAAUAGGGUAGAAGCGGAAGCAACCAUAACCAAGAUCGAAAUCCGUCAAGCUUUCAUGCUUGUUCCGGCGAUGAUACCAUGUAAACCAUUGUGUAUGUUGAUGAAGAAAGAAUAUGCAGGAAGAAAGGCAGAGAGAAAUGUAGAAGAAUAAGAGAGUAAGAAAGUUUAGAGAGUAGAGAGAGAAUCAAGAAUUGUAUUUUCUUUCUAGUUAGUUACAACUGACUAUUACAACAUGUAUUUAUUUGUAUUGGCAGCUUACACUCUAAGCCACACAAUAACCACCUUAACUAACUCUUAUAUCACAGCUAUAGAAUCUUAGUACACCUAUCAAUAACCACCACCAGCAAUGAAGGUACCAUGGAAAGCCUUUCUCAUGGGAAGAAGACUCUGGUGGGUUUCAGCUUUUUCUCCUAAUGUCUUCAUCCUCGGCUCAACCAUGUGGCAGUACACGAUUCCAUAUUUGUUCAAG
rnacentral:lncRNA from 1 species